GUUAAUCAUGCUAUCUUGAAAAGAAAAUAAAAAUGUUAAAAAAAAUACUAAGCCCUAUGUGUGUAUACGAGUGGCAUAAAACUCAUAAGUACCUUCACUGUGGUGGCAUAAAAAUAAAUAUUUCUUUUCUGCUUUAUAAAAUAAAAAUAUAAAAACAGGGAGUAAUAUUUAUUGAGGAAGCUCAACAUGAUGAAGGCUAGAUAUUUAUGCUAAGUUGCUAACACUUAAUUAGUUCCACAAGCUUUGUUGUCUAUUUGAGCUCCACAGAAUUUAAGAAUCAAGAAGACUAGCAGACGGAGGACAUUCUAAUCGCUGUCAGAAUACUCCUGACUUUCAAAUACACCUCUGCCACCUGCUAGCUACUUCAAGAGAAAUUACGUCAAAAUUUAGUUUGGGGAAGAGCACCCCCAUUUAUCUCGCUAAGUAUUUCUACCUAUCUUUAUACUUAUAUUAUGUUAGAAUAUUAAAAUACAUAAACUAUGAAAAACCAAAUAAAGAUUUUGUGCUUAUAUAUAUCUUUUGCUUAGUGUGUUUAAUAAAUAAAUAAAGUGGCUAUGCUAAUCUGAAUCUUAAUAAUAAAACUCUAGCAUGGAUAUGAUGAAUAGUUGCUCUGCCUAAUUUGCAAAUUUGAAGUUCUCUCUCAAGUUUAGACAUAACUGUUAUAAUUUAAAGCUUGCUCUAGAUCUAAACUUGUGGGAUGAAAACUUGAUCUGAAAUCUAAGUUGUUAACGGAUAUGAUAUGGGAAGGUUGAGCUGCUGUUUAUCUGUUCCUAGAGAUGCUAGAAUUCUGGAGUAUUUUAUCUUUGAAAAAUCUUUAAAAUAUUGCAUGAUGAGUUCCUGUAUGAUGAAAGUUUAAAUUCCUACCACAGCCAUAUAUACAUGCUUGCUAGACUUUGAGCCACACAUUUACUGUUACUGCUUAUGAGCAUUGAGUGUGGUCAAGCUGUGUAGACCCUUAGGAGCUUGUCAUGUGGUUAAGUCAAGAUUCACUUGCACGUUCACUCAUAUAUGUUACUUCUACUCCGGAAGUACCAUCCACAUAUAUCCAUCCAUGUCCAUCUCUAGAACCACCCAAAAAUAUUCUACUCCUAAUCUGGGAGAGAAUAGCCAAAAAUAUUUCUAUUUUCCCUUGUGAAAUAAAUGCUCAAGUUAUCUUGCUACUACCACUUGCUAUAUUAUCUCAAGAGAUAAGUGCUCUGAAAAAAAGAAGAAAAGAGAAGAAAAGAAAAAAAUAAAAUAAAAUAAACGAGGAAAUAAAAAGGGGCAAGUGCCCGGAACCUCGAAAGAAAGAAAAAGUGAGACGAGAGGUAAAAAUGGACAAGUGUCCGACAGUAGAAUUAGGGGUACAAGAUACCCACCUGAGAGGAUAGAAAAAGAAGAGCAUCUCAUUCUCCUCAUAAAGUUUCCAAAAGCAAGGAAGGUAUGUAUCCCCUCAAAAGAGCAAAAGUAGAAUUAGACUUUCACCAUUGUUAUCACCAUCAUCACCAUACACCAUUCAUUCGCCACACAUGCACAUCUUGAUUUGGAUUAUUGAUUUGUUUCUUUGGAUCUAUGGUUUGACUGUACAAUAAAUGUCUUGUAAGUAUGUAUACUUUAUCUCCCACCUAUGAGCUCCAGAUAUUAAAGCCUUAUUAGAGUAGGGUGAGAGAGAAGGCAAUGUCACUAUGCCUUAUACCACAAAUACCACAUAUCUUGAGAGAAGGCAUAUACCAUCAUUGCCUUGGUAAGGAUCCAAAAAUACCACAAAAGAGAGAUUUAGAGAGUCAUACAAGGAAUCUCUGAGUUUUAUUUGAAAAUCUGCAAAAACUCCAGAGCUAUAGCUGAUCAAGAAUAAGAGACAUGGCACUUGGCUAGACUUUUCUAUCUUUUAACUACUCAAGACAGAAGUAACGGUUACAAGUCCCAUGGUGAAAGGUAAUGUAAGUAAGUUUAGUUCUUGACAGUUUACUCUAACAUAGAGAUGAGAUCUUAUUUAAAAGCAUGUGUACCGUCAAAUUUUUAAGAUAUUGCAACAACUUCUGAUCCAUUGCUGAGUCUAUCCUUGCUUAGGGACAAGCAAGAGGUAAGCUUGGGGGAGUUUGUUGACGGUCCUUAAGUAUCAAAUUUAAUUAUCAAAUAAACAAAGAAAAGGAUCUAAAUGAAAUCAACAUCUAGACUUAGGGUUUUAUCUGACAGAAUUCCACGAGGUUUGGUGUUUGUCUAUUUCUGCAGGGGGUUAUCAGGAAAUACGAAAGAAAGGCCCACACGUCGGGAUUACAUAGAGAUAUCAACAUGACGUGCAAUUAUUUUACAUCUAGAAGACUCCAGAAGCCACGGAAAGGAAGCGGAGGCCGAACGGAGCCAGGACCUGGGCGCCCGCCCAAGUCCUUAGGGCGCCCGCCCUGCUACAGUGGCCAAUCACGUUCAACCUCGUGGAUUAUGCUCCACCGACCUAAAGGAUCAAGAAUAACCGUUCAAUCAAUGUCGGUUUGAUCCGAUGGCCCAGGUUCACUUGAGGGGACUAUAUAACCAGACCCCCUGGCCCCUGGAGGAGACACCCCUUGAUCAUUAUUCAUUAUUCAUAGACAGAGCAAAAGCUAGGGUUUAGAGAUGAGAGCUCUCCUCUCUUCGCUAAACUAGAGUAGAUCUAGAUAGUAGCAAGAUGGAGAGCGAAGGAGGAUUAGAGGAGAGGCCGGCCUGUCGGUUCUUCCUCCGGUUGUACUUCGCCAUGAUCAAGCUCUAAUCAAGCUUGCUCAUGGGAUGACUCUGGUAAUCUACUUCUCAUUCAUUAUGCAAUUACUAAUUAUGUAUGUUCUGGUUCACAACUCUUUUGAGUACUUUAAUCUAUAGGACACUAUAGGUGAGAGUUGUAGUAUAGGUGUAAGCGAGGUGCUUAGAUCUAGAUUACUUGUGGAUAUCCCCUGUCUAGCUGGAUCGUAUGGUAGGCCGCGUAGGUGACAGUUACGUUGGUCCUCUGUAGUCCACCUCUCGUUAGCAGGAUGGGUAGGGUUUAUCGGCCUAAGGAUAAGCAUCCUUUGUGGUGUACUCUUAUCACGUGGUUCGUCCCAGACAUAGACAUACCCCUUUGAAGUAGAGAAACCAUAGUUAUUCUCUCUAUUCUGCUACCAUCGCCCAUAUACUAGAAUUGCUCUAUUCUCUAUUCCCAUAUUAUCACUCACUAUUAUCUUACCUUUAAUAUUGUUCUUAUUCAAUUCUACCAUCUUUCCUAUUUACACCUAUUUACUUAUCUUGGUUAAGUUAGAGCGUAGAUCAGUUCUCCCGUUUCCCUGUGGAUACGAUAAAACCUUUAACCGGGUAAAAGCUUCAACGGUAUCCGUGCGCUUGCGGAUUAUCUAUGUGCGUAUAAAUACCAUAGUACACUCUAGUGCCAUGCUGGGGAUGACAACCUAGUAUUCAAGUGGUGUUAGCAAGUGUCAACAAUUGGAACAAAGUGGGUCUUCCGGAAUAAGAAGGAUGAUCAAGGCAAAGUGGUGCGCAACAAGGCAAGGCUCGUGGCAAAAGGCUUUUCACAAGUGGAAGGUCUUGACUUCGGUGAAACCUUUGCACCGGUGGCAAGACUUGAAGCAAUCCGUAUCCUACUUGCAUAUGCAUCUAGUCAUGAUAUCAAGUUAUUUCAAAUGGAUGUGAAAAGUGCUUUUUUGAAUGGAUACAUUAAUGAGCUUGUCUAUAUUGAGCAACCCCCCGGUUUUGAAGACCCUAGGUACCCCAAGCAUGUCUACCGGUUGUCCAAGGCUCUCUAUGGUCUCAAGCAAGCUCCUAGAGCUUGGUAUGAGAGGCUUAGGGACUUCAUCAUUGAGAAGGGCUUCAAGAUUGGGAAAGUUGACACAACACUCUUCACCAAGAAAAUGAAUGGGGAAAUCUUCAUUUGCUAAGUUUAUGUUGAUGAUAUUAUUUUUGGCUCUACUAAUGAAGAUUUUUGCAAGAAAUUUGGUGAUUUGAUGUCCAAGGAGUUUGAGAUGUCCAUGAUUGGCGAGCUAUCCUUCUUCCUAGGAUUUCAAGUCAAGCAAAUGAAGGAAGGAGUCUUCAUCUCUCAAGAGAAGUACACUCAAGAUCUUCUCAAGAGGUUCAAGAUGAUGGAUUGCAAGCCAAUCCAGACUCCCAUGGCAUCAAAUGGGCAUCUCGACUUGGAUGAGGGAGGUAACCCAAUUGACAAGACUCUCUAUCGCUCCAUGAUAGGAAGUCUACUCUACCUCACCGCAUCUAGGCCCGAUAUAAUGUUUAGUGUGUGUAUGUGCGCUAGAUAUCAAGCAAUGCCUAUGGAAUCUCACUUGAUUGCGGUCAAGAGAAUUCUUAGGUAUCUAAAAUACACACCUUGCCUAGGCUUGUGGUAUCCCAAAGGUGCAAGAUUCCAACUUGUAGGCUAUUCCGAUUCGAAUUUGCCGGGUGCCGGAUUGAUAGAAAAAGCACAUCCGGAGGGUGCCACUUCCUAGGUAGAUCUCUUGUCUCUUGGAUGUCAAAGAAACAAAAUAGUGUUGCCUUGUCAACGGCCGAAGCGAAAUACAUUGCCGCCGGUGCUUGUUGUGCACAAAUACUCUACAUGAAACAAACUUUGCUAGACUAUGAAGUAGUACUAGACAAAGUACCUUUGUUGUGUGACAACGAAAGUGCCAUAAAACUUGCAAACAACCCGGUUCAACACACCCGCACAAAACAUAUUGACAUCCGCCACCACUUCCUUAGGGAUCAUGUUGCUAAAGGUGACAUAUCUCUAGAGAAUGUGGGAACGGAAAAUCAAUUGGCGGAUAUCUUCACAAAACCCCUAGAUGAAGCUAGGUUUUGUAUGUUAAGAAAUGAACUAAAUGUGCUUGACCUCUCUAACUUCACUAAAAGAUAAAAGUUGUGUGUUGAAACUUGUAAAUAACUUUUGCUUUGCAUAUCAUGCAUACUAAAACUAAAAUACAACUUGCAUGUAGGGCUUGUCUAACAUGGUUAAGAUAACCCCUUUGUGUGUGUGAAAAAGCUUAACCUUGGAUCAAACUUGACAAGCAUUAGUUUACUUUCAAGUAUUGCAUUACAACUCAUAUCAUAUGCAUGCUUGUUAAUUAACCGUUUCUUUUUAGUUAUCUGUUGAGCAUCCGCUGUGUUCGUCCAUAGAUAGGGGGAGCAUUCAAAGCUCAUUGUGAUUCUAACCCCUAGCUUUAUGGCCACAUGAUACUCCUUGGCGAUUUCUCGAAUUAUUUUCAUAAAAAUCUACUAAGCCUAUGGCUAAAUAUUUGUGAAAAUUUGAGGGUUUGAGAGAAGUCACUCAUACCAGUUUCAUUUGGUGUUUAUUUGCGUGUUAUUACAGAUGGAACUUGGUUGGGUCUUAGUCGGGUGUAGUGCUAAGUUGAAAAAGUGCUCAGAGGAGCACCGGACGCUGCACCGGACAGUGUCUCGGUGCGUCCGGUGCGCUGUGAGUGCCAGACUGCACUCACCGGACGCAGGAACAGUGUCUCUGCAGCGUCCGGUGAAGUGCGUCCGGUGCUCACCUGGCGUGACCUGAAGCACCGGACGCUAAAGCCAGCGUCCGGUGGCCAUCGUCCGGUGCAAUGCCAAAUUGCAUAUCUCUCUGCGCAUGAGUCCGGUGCCACAUUAAGAGCGUCCGGUGACCCCGCAGCGGGCGCAUAAAGCCCGCGCCCAGGGGCAUCUCGCAGCCGUUUCCCUUUCUCCUUUCAAUCUCGCCCGAGCCGUGCGUCUCCGCCUCCGCGCCCUAGCCCUAAGUCGCCGCCGCCGCCCCUUUGAUCUCCGGCGACAUUGGCUUCUCCCUCGCGUCAGAUCCGCCUCGCGAACUCCUCUCUUCCUUCUCCUCGCGCAGAGCCUUCUCUCCUGCGAAGAGGUUAGGGUUUGGGUGAGUUCCUAAUCUCCUUCCCUCGAGGUGUUCGAUUCAAUGCUUGAAUGGAUUAGAUUGUUGUUUCCGAUGACAAUUUGAUUCGUUUCAUAUCUACAGCACCUGGAGGAUUGGAUUCUCGUCUCCGGCAGAUCUCGAUCGCAUUAUUGAAUCUGGAACACGUCCCGUCGCCCGAUCGUAAGCCGUUCGCGCCCAUUGCUUAUCUAUUCUUGCGAUCUAUAGGGUUUUCUCACCUCUAGUCGUUAUGAUUACUUAUAUAUACCCUAUCUUGUCUAUUCUCUGCAGCGCGUUAAUCUUCUUUGUCAGUUGGUGUCAACGAAAGCUGGUCGGCAGUCUACCUUGGGGUAUACCCACGGUAGUAGUUUAUCGGUAGACGGUGCGCAAACUACGAACUCGAUGGUGACGCAAGACACGGACAAGCUUUUUAUCCAGGUUCGGCCACCGAGUUGGCGUAAUACCUACGUCAUGCGUCUGGUUGUAUUGAUUUGUGUUGAGAGAAUAUAUGAUGCCCUAGGGGGGUCCCUUGCCUCUCCUUAUAUAGUCCGGAGGGUAGGGUUACAGAUCUGGAAACUAAUCCUAGUCGGUUACAAUUGCCAUAGAUAGUUCGAUAUCAAUUCCUAUUCUAACCGACUAAGAUCCUGUUUGAUCUCCACGUCUUGUUUCCUUGCGCGAAACUCCGAGCUGUCGGAUCAAACCUUGAGCUUGUCUCGUAACGGGCCAAGCCUCCUAGCCCAAGUCUAGCCGUAAGGGUAUAGGGGUUUAUACCCCCACAGCUAGUCCCCGAGCACCAUGUAUUGUGAAGUAAUACGCCGUCUUGAGCUUCUUUGACCAAUGAAACUUAAGAUCUUCAAUCAUUAUGAAAAUUGCCCAAAUAGUUGCGACAACAGUUUGAACAAAUCUAAAGGCGUCCAAUUAACUUCAUCAUCAAAGAAGCCAACUGUUCGAAGAAUGCAUGGUGCUCUCGAGAAAAAUAUUCCUUUUUUGGUGAAGUGUGCCCACUUUACUUUUUUCAAAAGUACUGUCCAUCAACAAGACAAGCAAAUUCACCGCAAGGUGAAGUGUGCCCACUUAGUCCCCGAGCCUGGUAGCAGGUGACGUAGUCACGUGGUGCCAGGGUCCAAAGAAGAAUCUCCAAAGCUGCUUUGUAUGUAGGAUGCAUCGCUAGAUGCAUCGUACCGAUGUAGUCCCCGAGCUUGCUGGAAGGCGAAGUAUGAACCUUGUAGCAAGGUCUUAAAAAAACUGAAAUUAUCCAGUCCCCAAGCAUCCCAUGCUCAUUUACCAUGGAGUUUGCGGUUCGACGCUCUGGUCAACCAGUCCCCGGGUGUACAAUGGUCGACGAACUCUUUAGCUUGCUGAUUUCUAAACCAAUAAACUAAGCGAUCAGUCCCCGAGCAGCAAGCGCUCGGUGGUCGGAGCAGUCUCAACAAAUUUGACGACCAGUCCCCGAGCAUCGAGUGCUCGGUGGUCGGAGCGGUCUUUGAAGUUCUGAGUUAAUAGACUGGUCGACCAGUCCCCGAGCAUCAAGCGCUCGGUGGUCGGUGCAGUCGUUGAAGUUCCAAGUUAAUAGACUGGUCGACCAGUCCCCGAGCAUCAAGCGCUCGGUGGUCGGUGCAGUUGUUGAAGUUCCAAGUUAAUAGACUGGUCGACCAGUCCCCGAGCAUCAAGUGCUCGGUGGUCGGUGCAGUCCCCUGAUUGUUGACUCUCUGCCAUAUUUGUCUGCUUGUUUUGAAAAAAUCUUUCCAGAAAAAGUUGACGUGACGAGACCUCCUGACGAGAUGUCAGAUGGAUGCAUGAAAAGUUGCGCCUGGCAACUGUACAGCCGCCCUUUGCGCGGUUUGAGAAAAGGAAACCAUCAAUUUGUACGAAAACUCUGCCGCAUUAAUUGUCGAUAAUCAUUGAAAACCGAAGCGCCGCAUCCGCCGUAUGGCCCGCCCACUUCCCGAGGAUGCGGGAAGUGGGAGGGGCGAAGUUGUGGGUUAUAAGAGCUCGACAGUUCCCCCUGUACUGCUUACCCUGCCAUUGCCUUCAAGCCUUCCACUCUUGCCUCCUUCAAUCAUCUACACCUACCAAACUCAAAUCCACCUCCGCGCCUCCAAUGGCGAAGAGCGAUUCAAAGAAGAGGGCCGAGCUGAUGGCCAAAGAAUGGAAGAAAUCCCGUAGCACCGCCGAGUCCCUCAGUGACCUCGUCGAUAUGGGGCUACUGCACAGCUCGGAGCUCGGCGGCUGGAGGGCACCGGAGGGGGAGAGCUACCCCGACCCCCGCGCUGGUGAGAUCAUCGUGUUCGAGGAUUUCGUUAAGAGGGGUUUUGGGGUGCCUGUUCACCCUUUUCUUCAGGGUCUUCUUUUGUAUUAUGAGAUCGGGAUUUGCAAUCUGCACCCGAACUCAAUCCUUCUUAUUUCAACUUUUAUCCAUUUGUGCGAGGCCUAUGUAGGCAUAGAACCGCACUUCGAUCUCUUUCACUAUCUUUUUUGUUUGAGAAAGAAGGGGGCAGUUGGAGGCUCUAAGGUUGCAGGUGGAGUAUACCUCAACCUUCGCGACGGGAUGAAGAACCGCUAUCUGCACUGCCCCUGGAACACUUCCCUGACUGAAUGGCACAGGAAGUGGUUCUACAUCAGGGAGGAACCGGGCAGCUCCACGUUCUGCGACGUGGGAUACAUCCCCGAGAAGAGGGUGAGCUGGACCGAUCGCCCCGAGUACGACGGUCAAGUGGCAGACCUGAUGCGGCUGAUCGACUGGUCGCGUCUAGACGGGCUAGGCGUGGUCGGCAACUUCGUGUGCCGUCGGGUGAUGCCCUGCCAGAAGAGGGUGCACUCGGUGUACGAGUAUGCCGGAAGCAUGGACCCGACCAGGAUGCGACCUGAGAUCUUGGAGAAGGCGGAGGUACAGCAGCUGUUGAACGAGCUGUUCAACUUCGCGGACGGAGGCUUCAUCCGUGGCAGUGAUCGGGUGGAAGCUUUCAAGUUGGGGCGACCAGCGCCUAUGGUAUGUUAUUGAUUACUUCGCUUUAGCAUCCGUAUGUUGUCUGCAGCUGACUUAUUUUUGUUACUUUUGCAGAUCGGAGAUGUCGACCGGUGCACAGUGUAUGUAUCACUGGCACCUGGAAUGGAGAAUCCUGCGGGAGAAGAUCCGCCGGAGGAAGAUGCUGCUCGGUGUACUCGUUACACCAGCAGUGAGGAAGACCAGGCCCGCCCCGUCCCGACCACCGAGGAUAGAGUGGCGGGGAAAAGGCCAAUGGCGGCGGAUCCGUCGCCGGCGCCGACGCUGCCAGCAGAGAGCAGCCGAGCGCCAAAGCGUCGUCGGUUCGUUCGGAUUGCCGACGACGACGACGAGGAGGAGGAGGCCGCACCAUCGUUGGUCCGGAGGCCUCAUAGCCGUCCGGACAGCGUGCCGACCACUGCUGAUCGGGUGGCUGGCGACCCUCCUGCGCCUCGCGUUGCGGAGACGGGGGCACAGGUGCCGACCGGCCGGGCAAGGAGGAGGUUCACCGCGACCCACCGUCGCUCGGACCUGUAAGUGUUCGACUUACGUAUUUUGGCAUUUUUUUAACUGUUGUUGAAAAUAUCCCUUUGUUAUGUAGCGCGGCGUCGGACAUCAACCCCGACCAGACCGCGGAGCAGGGGACGGCCGCUCCUGUUGCCGCCGCUGAAGACGCCGCGCCACAGGUCACAGAGCAACCUGCAGCGGCGGCGGGCGCCGAUGACCAAUCUGCCCCUACGAGUGCUGCGACGAGCACUCAGCCGAGGGGUGAGGAGGCAGCAAGGGCCCCUCCCCCGAGUACUGUUGUAGAGGAGGAGAGCAGAGUCCCAACUCCUCCAGCCGAAGAAGGGAGGGUGCGGAUGCCGCCCUGAGCAGGGGCUUCUUCGCCCAUGGGCUCCUCUGGCCUAGGCCAGGGACCAGUGAUGCCCUCAACCGCAGCCGAAGGUAGUGCGGCAAACGAGGAGCCCCAGGAGGCCUCUGACGACGAUGUGGAGGAGGUCCAGGGUCAUCCCCCUGAUGGCCGCCAGCACGUCUACGUGUGGCGCCAACGCGGGGACCACUUUAUUGGCCACGAGGAGCUCGCGGAGACGGAGGAGGCCGCGAGGGUGGAGCGCGCGGCUAAGCGCCUCGUGGAGGAGGUUAAGGUAGGUGGUCCUGUGUUCUGCUGGGAUAACUUUUGUGCAGUGUUCCUGUGUUCGACAUGUGUUCUUUCUUGCAGGGCGCGAUGAAAACGGCGAAGUACCGAAAACGGUGCUUCGACCAGAUUGAGGGAAUUGUGGCCGAGAAUAAGGCCUUGUCCACGGAGGUAGACCGGCUGCGGUCGGAGGUUGGGGAGAAGGUGGCCGAGGUGAACGCCCAGGAGGAGCGUCAUCUCGAGCUCACUCGUCGCUUGACCGACCAGUACCGGCAGCGGUCAGGUCAGUCACGUGCUCCGAGCAGCUUUGUGUAGCUGCGUAGUUUACUUUACUGACCGGGUUGUGAUUCACGUAGACUUGGAGGAGGAGGUGGCGCGCCUCCGACAGGAGAAGGAGCAGCUCGGUCAAGAGCUAGCCGGCGCGCUGGAGGCUGGUCACCGAGCAGCGGAGGAGCUAAACCAGAGGGACCGGGACUUGUCUGCUAUCACGCGCCGCUCCUGUUGUUUGCCUCUUAUCGCUCUGUUUGACGCGCCGAGACUAACAUCUUCCUUGAUUUGCAGUGCUCAAUUGAAACACCAAGAAGCACCUGGAGGAUCUGGUCAAGGAUCGGGACUCCUGGAAGGUCAACUGCUGCAGGAUUUGGAGAGGAGUGGCCCCGGUUUUGGAUUUGAUCAGUCCCGAGCUCCCGGAGAGCCAGCCCCGCGUGCCAAAAUUGACUCCAGUGGAAAAGGCGCAACGGGCGUGGGACUGGCUCCAACAAUUCGUGAAGGACGCCGGGGAGUUUGCUGGCGCGCAUGUCCUUAGCAUGGUGCGCGCCCACUACCCCCUGGUCGACUUGACUAGGCUAGAGAAGGGGUAUCCCAAGGAGGUCGGGCCGCAGGAGGCGGACGAGCUUCGGGGUGGUCUGCUGGACUUGUCGUCGACGGUGAUCGGCGACAUCAAUCUAUGCGGAACGGCCACUCCCCCGACCAGCCCGGUUCAGACAGGUCGGCCAGGGAGCUGUCGGGCGCGUCUAUUGCGGGAGAUGGGUGGUCGACGCCUGCGGUCUCGACCAGCCAGGCGCCGGUGGCCCCGACCCCUUCGUCCGGGCAGCAGGGCCAGGAGGGUGAUCAGCCCGAGCAGUAGGCCAAUAGGGUAGUCUGUAGGAAUAGACUAGCGUCUACCCGUCAGGGUAUUUAUUGUAAACUUUGUAUGUAAAGUUUGUAAUAAAGUUUGCUUUUGUCAUGACUGUUAUUUUGAGCGCUGUACAAUUAUCUGAGUGACGUGCCACUAUAUUUGACUUUGUAGUCGCUAAGAGCUUCCGUUGCAGAAGGCUUUCCGAGUUCUGCGUGUAACAAAGUAUAGGCAAAAAAGAGAAACUUUUAUUAUUGACAGCUAUAAAAUAUUUACAAGCGAAAGUUAUUAGAACUUAUGGAUAAAAUCGGCGCAAUUUGUCUAUGUGCCAAGAGUUAGGCACGCGUGUUCCGUCUGGGUAUGCCAAUCUAUAGGACGUGGGUCGUGUGACUUUGGCGACCACGAAGGGUCCUUCCCAGGGAGUGGAUAACUUGUGCAUUCCCUCUUGGCUUGUUUUCCACCUAAGUACCAGAUCACCGACUAUGAAGGAACGGUCCUUGACGUUCCUGUUGUGGUAUCGCCUAACUGCUGCGAGGUACUUUGCUGUUCGGAGACAAGAAUUCAAACGCUUUUCCUCCAUGCAAUUGAUUUCGAGCUCUCUGGCGUUGUCGGCUGUUGACUGGUCGAUGUUUUCAAUCCUAGGACAACCGAAGGUUAUGUCAGACGGUAGGACUGCCUCGGUGCCGUAAACCAUGAAGUAGGUGACACUCCUGUGUUCCGACUGGUCUGAGUUCGGAGGCCCCAGACCACGGCCGGUAACUCUUUCAUCCAUCGACCGGGAGCUCUGUCGUUCUCGGUGUACAGCCUUUUCUUUAGGGCGUCGAUGAUCAUUCCGUUUGCGUGCUCAACUUGACCAUUGGCCCGUGGGUGAGCUACUGACACAUAUUUUAUGACUAUGCCCCAGUCAUCGCAGAAGUCCCAAAAUGUGGUGCUAGUAAACUGAGUACCCAGGUCGGUGAUUAUACUGUUUGGGAUCCUGAACCUAUGUAUGAUUUGAUUAAGGAACUCCACAGCCUUCUCGGAGGUUGCUUUGACCAGUGGCAUGUAUUCAAUCCACUUGGAGAACUUGUUGAUUAACACGAAAACAAACUUGAAGUUGCCGGGGGCUGGUUUAAAUGGCCCGAUCAUGUCGAGCCCCCAGCAGGCGAAGGGCCAGGAUGACGGGAUGGUUUGAAUCUCAUGAGCAGGUACGUGGGUCCUUUUAGCGAAGAACUGACAUCCCUCGCAGUGUCAGACCAGUUUUUCUGCAUCGUUGACCGCAGUUGGCCAAUAAAAACCUGCUCGGAAGGCUUUCCCGACCAGCGUUCUGGACGCAGCGUGAUUGCCGCUGGAUCCAGCGUGUAUGUCCUUUAGGAGCUUGAUGCCAUCAUCUUGGGAUAUGCAUUUGAGCAGUACUUCGGAACUUGCAUUUUUUCGCAUAAGUUUGCCGUCCAUCAGUAUGUAGUUCUUUGAUCGUCGAAUCAGGCGUUUGUUCUCUGUUUUGUCCUGAAAGCCUGACCCGUCCGAUAUAUAUCUUAUGAACGGGGUGCGCCAAUCGCGGCCACUGGUUGUCGGAGUGGCAUCGUCUAUGAGCAGUGCCUCAGUGAGUUGCUUUUCGACCAGGCCUGUGCCCACACUUGGCUCAUGGAUGUCCUGGACGAAAAUACCCCGUGGGAUUUGGGCCCGAGAUGACCCUAACUUCGACAACGCAUCUGCUGCCUGGUUCUUAUCCCGGACCACGUGGAUGUACUCUAUGCCGUAGAAGUUGGUUUCCCAUUUGUGAAUUUCUUUGCAGUAGAGAUCCAUCUUCUCAUGGGUUGCGUCCCACUCCUUGUUGAGCUGGUUGAUAACUAAAGCAGAGUCGCCAUAGACGUAGAGGCGGUUGACUCCCAGCUCAACGGCUAGCCUUAUGCCGUGCAGACAUGCUUCGUAUUCGGCGACAUUGUUUGAUGCCGGAAAGAGGAUCCUAAGGACGUAACGCAGUUUGUCCUUGUUAGGCGACACGAAUAGUAUUCCAGCGCCGGCGCCGUUGAUGUUUAAGGAUCCGUCAAAGAACAUUGACCAGUGGUCGGAGACAUCGGGAACGGGAGGCUCGUUGAGAUCCGUCCAUUCAGCAAUGAAAUCGACCAGGGCCUGAGACUUGACUGUGGUGCGGCUCUGGAACUCCAGGGAAAAUGGGCAUAAUUCCAUCGCCCAUUUUACGAUUCUGCCGUUGGCGUCUUUAUUGCGCAGAAUGUCCCCGAGAGGGAAACUGGUGGUUACGAAGACUCGAUGGCCGUCGAAGUAGUGCUUCAGCUUUCUUGACGUUAUUAGAAUGGCGUAUAUGAGCUUCUAUAUUUGUGGGUACCUGGCCUUGGACUCAUUUAAGACUUCGCUUAUGAAGUAAACGAGUCUCUGGACCUUGUAGACAUGACCUGGCUCAUCUCGUUCGACCACUAUUGCCGUGGAAACAACCCUGUCGGUUGCGGCAAUGUAAAGGAGUAGGUCUUCAUUGGGCUGAGGCGCUGUAAGAACAGGUGGUGAAGUGAGGAAAGUCUUAAGCUGAGUGAACGCGGCAUCGGCUUCCUCUGUCCAAGAAAAUUUUUUCGGCGCCUUCAAGAGUUUGAAGAAAGGGAGGCCUUUUCCUCCUAGUCUUGAGAUGAAGCGACUGAGGGCGGCCAUACAUCUGGUGAGCUUCUGAAUAUCCUUGAUGUUUUUAGGUGGUCGCAUGUCGAGUACUGCUUUUACUUUUGAAGGAUUUGGCCGUAUGCCGUCACGACUAACAACGUUGCCGAGCAGUAGACCAGAAGGGACACCGAAGAUGCACUUUUUGGGGUUAAGCUUCCACUUGUACCUAUUAAGCGCCUUAAAAGUUCAGUCUAAGUUGUCGAUUAGGGUGCUUGCAUCCCUCGUUUUGACGACGACGUCAUCUACAUAGGCCUCGACGAGGUCGUCACGAAUCUCGUCGUGGAGGCAUUGUUGUAUGGCCCGUUGAUAAGUGGCUCCGGCAUUUUUGAGUCCGAAUGACAUAGUCGUGUAGCAAUAUGCGCCGAAAGGAGUAAUGAAAGAUGUUUUGAUCUGAUCGUCUUCCUUUAGCAAAAUCUGGUGAUAACCAGAGUAGCAGUCUAAAAAAGAGAGGAGUUCGCAUCCAGCCGUUGAGUCGACCACCUCGUCGAUGCGAGGGAGACCAAAAGGAUCUUUAGGACAGUGUUUAUUGAGAUCAGUGUAAUAAACGCACAUUCUCCAUUCAUUAUUCUUUUUGCGUACAAGAACCGGAUUGGCGAGCCAAUCGGGAUGAUACACUUCUUUUAUGAAUCCGGCUGCUAGAAGCCGUGUUAUUUCUGUCCUAAUAGCCUCCUUUUUGUCACGAGCGAACCGUCGCAGCUUUUGCUUGAUGGGUCUUGCGGUCUUUGAGACAUUUAAGGAGUGCUCGAUCAGGUUUCAUGGGACGCCCGGCAUAUCUGCGGGUUUCCAUGCGAAAACGCUUACGUUGUCCCUUAGAAACCUGACGAGCGCGUCUUCCUAUUUGGGGUCCAGAUUGGCCCCGAUGAGGGCCGUCUUCUCGGGGCUGCCGUCGACCAGUUGUACUUCCUUAUACUCCUUGGAUUUUGAAUUCUUCCUAGCAGUCUCCUGCUCGGGUAAUCGGAGCUAGUCGGGAGGCAGCUGCGCGGCUUGGGUUGCUGUUUCUGCCAUGCGAAUUGAGAGGUCAAUUGCCUCGGUGAUCUUGAAGCUUUCCUCUUCGCAGGUAUAUGCGGUGUAGACAUUGCCUCUGACGGUUAGGACACCCUUCUCCGUAGGCAUCUUAAGGACCAGGUAUGAGUAGUGCGGGACUGCCAUGAACUUUGUCAGCGAUGGCCGGCCCAGUAUAGUGUGGUAGGUCCCGUCGAAGUUCGCGACCACAAAGUUGACGAACUCUGUCCGAAAGUGGUCGGGUGUGCCGAAUUGGACAGGCAGUGUUAUCUGUCCGAGGGGCACUGAACUCUGACCUGGCAAAACUCCCCAGAAUUGAGCAUCGUAGGGUUUUAGUUGUGCAGGAGAUAUCUUGAGAGUGGGCAGGCUGUUGCGGAAGAGGAUGUCAAUGGAGCUUCCUCCGUCCACGAGCACGCGCUCGAAUCUGAUGCUGUUGAUGCAAGGGUCCAGGAUUAGAGGGAAACGUCCUGGCUCUGGGAUAGCGGCCCACUGAUCCUUCCUGCUGAAAGAGAUCUCCCUGUGCGACCACGGGGGAAAUUUCGGGUCUGCGAUCAGUCCGUCUGUGCUGUCUAUGUUGAGGCAGGCUCUUUUUAAUAGAUUUCUUUCUCGCUUAGAUUCGAUGGAGACCUUGCCCCCGAAGAUGGAGUGGACCACGUCGGUGGGGCUGACGUAUUGGUGUCGAGGGUCCCUAUCUUGGUCCUCGUCCUCGUCUUUGUGGUCGUGCCCGUCUCGCUUGCCGUUUUUCUUGGCGGAGUCGUCUUGGGCGGCCCGCCGUGUAUAGAUGUUUUUGAGGACGCGGCACUCUUCCAUGGUAUGAUUAGAUUUUGGAUGUAGUUGGCACGGUUCCAUGUUUUUGUUGUAAUCUUCUUGGUAGUCUCGCCGCCCGUUGGGACGCUUGACCGUAUUCACUUCGUGGUCGUGGUCGCGGGGGCGCUUUCCUCUGAAGUCGUCGCGAUUAUCGCGCCGCCGAUCCCAGCCUUCUCUAUGAUCGCGGUUGUCGGAGCGGCAGUGGUUCCUGUUGUCGAAACGACCGCGACCGUCAUCUCGCCGGGGAGGCUGGUCGGGACCUCUCGCAUCGUCCCGGAUUAGUUUCUCUGCAUCGUCGGCAUCGGCGUAAUUUUUAGCCAUGGCGAGGAGCUCCGCCAUCGUUGUCGGCCUUUUGCGCAACAGUUUGUUCCUCAGUGCUUCAUGGAAACGUAGGCCCUUGAUGAACGCAGAGAUGGCCUCGUCGUGGGAAAUCUUCGGGAUCUUGAGGCGCAUAUCCGAGAAUCGUCGGAUGUAAUCGCGUAAGGGUUCGUUUUUCCUGUCCCUUAUCCUUUCGAGGCCAUACUUGUUUCCAGGCUGCUCGCAUGUGGCGAUGAAAUUGUCGAUAAAAGCCUGGCGUAGCUCUUCCCAAGAGUCGAAGGAGUCCUCGGGCAAGCCAAGAAGCCACUGAUGACCAGCCUGGUCGAGGACUACUGGGAAGUAGUUGGCCAUGACAUGCUCAUCCCCCGCUGCUGAUCGGACGGCGAUUUCAUAGAGAGUGAUCCAGUUCUCUGGAUUUUCCUUGCCGUCGUAUUUUUUGAGUUUCUCGAGCUUGAAAUUGCGGGGCCACACGACCUGGCGGAGGUGUGAGGAGAACUGUCUUAGGCCCGGGGGGCCGUGUGCUGCAUCGUACUCGAUACGGCGCAGGUUUUCAUGGACUGCUCUCUCCGUGGCGCGUGUGUUGAUGUGGUCCCGGGCAUCUUUGGGAGGGAUGUUAUAUCGAAGAUCCCUGUUCUGGUUUACUUCUUGACCGCGCCUGCGGCUCUGAUCGCGGUGACCGUCAGCAUUCCGACCACCAUCGUCACGCCGUGAAUCCUUUCGAUGGUUGUCGGGGGAACGGCUACGGUGAUGCCUGCUGGGAGGCGGUGAGGUCCGGCUACGAUUAGUCUGGUCGGAGGUGGCUUCCGUAUAAGAGACGGCCUGGACUCUUUUGAGCAGAGUGGCUGUCUGUCCCAUUGCGGCGAUCAGGUGCGCUCGGACGCUGGUUCGGACUCCUUGGCACUCAGGAGUAUCGGGGAGCCGAUCUAGGUUAGCCAUGGCGACAGCCACGUUGGCGCUUGGCGUUUUGUAGACUGGCUGGUCCCCGACCAUAUCAAAGGCGUCGCUGAGAUUAUGUGGUGGAAUUUGUCGUUCCUCAUCCGCACGUCGUCGGGCGCGAUUGGCGUUACGCUGCUCGCGGAGCUGCCUUUGCUCGUCUGUUUCUCCAUCGACGACCGGCUCGUCGGUGCUGACGUUAAAAACAAUGUCUCCUCACCGGGGGGGAAUACCGGGAAACGAGAGAAACCCGGAGGAUGUGAAAGCAAAUCCAGGUCGUAGUCCUCGUCUUCGGAGUUUAUAACUUCGGUGGGGACGGAACCGGUGCUCGAAUUGGUGCUCGAAGCCUGGCCAUCCCGUAGUUCGCGGAUCGUCACCAUGUUGACGUAGUGACGAGCAGAUUGACUGUUCCUUUUUGGCGGCCAACCCGCCUUGGUGAAAACGGAUUGGAUGUGCCGUGAGUAGAGAGUGGCCGAGUUGUUCAGGCCGCAAAGAUAAUCUUCCUCCGGGUUAGCCUUGAGCUUGACGGAUCGUCCUGAGGGAGUUGAGGUUAUCGUCAGAGACAUUCCUAGCCGUUCGUGUGUAACGACACGAGUUGGCUGGCGGGAUUUGAAAAAAUCCGUUGGGGCGGCUUGAUCAGGCUGGCGCAGGAUUCCAUCUACUAGUUGGGAGGCUUCGAGUAGCUUGGAAUCGGCGCGAUCAAGCGCUUGGAGAAGGUCCGAGCAGUCGAUCUUCUUUCUCUUGUAGAGCGGGAACGGUGGUCGGGCGCUCGGUGCCGUCACCCGAGUGGUCGGAGACGACGUGAUCUCAGAUUGGAUCUGAGUUUCUUCCGAAACCGUGGUCGUGAGGCCACCGCUGCGCGUAGUCCACGUGAUCUGGCCGACGGUGAGCGUGAGGCCUUCGGGCACGGUCGCGGAAGCUGGGAUUGUGACCAUCUCGUUCGCCGGAGAAGUUGCACGCACACCCCCUACCUGGCGCGCCACUGUCGACGAAAGCUGGUCGGCAGUCUACCUUGGGGUAUACCCACGGUAGUAGUUUAUCGGUAGACGGUGCGCAAACUACGAACUCGAUGGUGACGCAAGACACGGACAAGCUUUUUAUCCAGAUUCAGCCGCCGAGUUGGCGUAAUACCUAUGUCCUACGUCUGGUUGUAUUGAUUUGUGUUGAGAGAAUAUAUGAUGCCCUAGGGGGGUCCCUUGCCUCUCCUUAUAUAGUCCGGAGGGCAGGGUUACAGAUCUGGAAACUAAUCCUAGUCGGUUACAAUUGCCAUAGAUAGUUCGAUAUCAAUUCCUAUUCUAACCGACUAAGAUCCUGUUUGAUCUCCACGUCUUGUUUCCUUGCGCGAAACUCCGAGCUGUCGGAUCAAACCUGUUGACACCGUUUUUGGGCACGUGUCUAGGAUGGCAGGAUAAGGUGGCAGUAUGCUGUUUACAGGGUGAGUUACCGAUGAGGAUGGUUGCCGAUGAAGGAGAAGUUGAACGUGACUAAGUCUACAUGCAGUGAUAUGACUGUGCCGAUGGCUAGAUAAGAAAGUCUGCCGAUGACUAUGGCAAAGGGUCUGCCGAUAAUACAAAGAGGGAAUCCGGAAGCUGCCAGUCGUUGUGUGGAGGAGUUUCAGUUUGUCACGGGGGAUAGUUUUGUUAUUUCCUUAAUUAUGUACAUCGUUUUGUAUACAGAUUCCGUGUAAUUUGGAAUUCGAAUUCUAAUCGUGUCUGGUUGUAGCUCUUUGAGCAGGGUAUAAAUAUAGACCCUAGGGCCUUGUAAUGAGAUCUACCAAUCAAUCAAACACACGUUUUUACUCAUAUUCCAGCAUCUACUUUUCGACGACUUCGUCAUACUUUUUCCUUUUAUUACGAGUUCUUAGGAAUUCGUCGACUUAAGCUCGGCGUGUUCUCGAGUUCCGCGUGAGUACCUCUUAGCCGUGACAUCCGGGCGCAUCACUGUUGUCAGGACUAAAGUAUUCGAGUUAUCACCUUUGCCGAUAGUAAGGUCAAAUCGGCUGGCACGCCUUAACGUUUGAAUCGGGUAUUAGCCCUUUGUGUUUCCAGACCAGCUUUGCAUCAACACAUCUUUUGGCACGCCCGGUCGAUCUCUGACCUCGAUCAGGAGAACGUCAUCCCCGUGACGGAGGCCAAUCUCAAGGAUGAGCAGAAGCAAGCUAUUGCCCAAGCCAUGGAAGAGUUCAAGCUGCAAUGCCUGAGGUCUUUCAGCAUAAACAGGAGCGGCGAGGUGGUCCAGAAAGAUGCACUGCCGGCACCACGGUAGGUUACCUUUGAAGCCAAUCCUGGCAAGCUUCAAGAUAUGGUUGACAGCGCUAUCAACCGAGCUUUGAUCAACCAAGCUGGUGUACUGUCUAAUACGGUUUUCAAUGCCGUGGCAAGAACUUUCAAGGAAGGACAAAUCCCACCAGAUUACGUGGGCCCCUCUCAUCAUCAGCCAACGGCACCAGAGGUCACGGCUCCAUCGGCUGCUUUGACGGCUGCAAGUGCACAAUCUGCCGUCCCUCCAAGUACAUCGGGGACUACUGGUGCACUAUCUAUGCCGAUGACAACCAACCCACAAAUUUCAGUUGGGCAGCAUAAACUGACAACAGAUAUGUUGGCAUCGGCAAUGUCAGGGUUGACUCUUCCUCCCAACUGGUGGGGUUACGGUAUGCCUCCAGAGUUGACACCGUGAACAUCACAAAUAACUGACAUGAGGGGCAAGACUCCUAUGACAUCGGCACCUCCCAAUGCGCCGGUGAACCAGAGUCCUCGGUAUACCACAACUACUACUGCAAGGCCUCACACUGGAAAUCCUCAAGAUUCAAUGUUCCAAAUGCCUAAUGCAUCGGCAGAUUCAAUGCUGAUGCAACAGAGGUCUAUGGCACAGUCGGGGUAUGUCAAUUCAAUGAUGGUACCCAAUUACCAAUCAUCGGCAGCACCUAUGCCGAUGAACGCUAAUAAUGGAUGGCUUGGACAGCAAGUCUCUCCACAGUCGCCCCAGCAGAGUUAUCAGACUACAGGGUUCCAGCAAGGACAGGUCUAUCCCGGGUUCCAAGGUCAGGGGAUUCCCAACCAGCCAAUGAAUUUCGGACAACAACUCGGGGGACAGCAACUCGGGGGGCAGCAAAUCGGUGGAUAGCAGUUCAGUGGUCCGCAGAUUGGUGGUCAAAUAAUCAACCCAGUGUUCCGUGCAGAUCACGUCCCGAACAGACACGUGGAGGUUCGCCACCAAGUGCCAGAUCCGCAGCCGCCUCAUCGGCAGGAUGCCGACGCGUAUUGGGCCGAUAAGAUUGCUGAAGUAAUGAGGGAACAAUUUGGGAUAAAACCCAAAGUCAACACGUACUCUUAUCGGACACCGUAUCCUCCCACAUAUGAUUUGAUCCCGCUUCCACAUCGGUACAAGGUACCGGAUUUUACCAAGUUUUCCGGGCAGGAUGAUACGUCAACCAUGGAGCAUGUCAACAGGUUCAUCAUUCAAUGUGGAGAGGCUGGUAACAGGGACGAAUUGAGGGUUCGUCUAUUUUCAUCAUCAUUGUCUGGAUCGGCCUUUACUUGGUUCAUAUCAUUACCUCCUAAUUCAAUAAUUACUUGGGCCGAUCUAGAGAAAAAAUUCCACAAGUACUUCUUUUCUGGAGUUCACGAGAAGAAGAUCACCGAUUUCGUCAAAUUGAGACAGCGCAACGAUGAAUCGGUUGAAGGUUUCGUACAGAGGACACGGGAGGUUAAGAAUAAAUGCUACAGUCUGGUUCUAGAUGAUCGGCAGCUAGCCGAUUUGGCUUUCCAGGGUCUGUUGCCACAUAUCAGGGAUAAGUACGCCUCUCAGGAGUUUGAAAGCUUAAGUCAUUUAGUACAGAGGAUCUCUGAUCAAGACAUCAAGCCUUUCGAGCCCAAAAGAGCAUGGAAUAACAAAGUGUCAUUUGUCGAUGAAGCAACAAGCUCAGAUUCUGAUGAGGAACCAGUCAUCGGCUUGGCAGAAUGGGUAAAAAACAAGAAGCCGAUGUCUUGUCCUUUUGGGCAGAAGGAACCAGAGAAGUUUGCUUUUGACACCGCUAAGGCCGAUAGGAUAUUUGACUUUCUACUUCAGGAAGGUCAGAUCAAACUGUCACCUAAUCAUGUGAUCCCAUCGGCAGAGGAGUUAAAGAGGAUGAGAUAUUGCAAGUGGCAUAAUGCAACUUCCCAUGACACCAACGAGUGCAAAGUAUUCAGACAGCAGCUGCAAUCGGCUAUAGAAUCUGGGAGAGUCAAGUUUGACAGUUCCAAGGCCCAGAAGCCGAUGAAGAUAGACCAACAUCCUUUCCCGACAAACAUGCUGGAUGCCAAGGGGAAGGCUAAGGUCCUAACAACGGAGACAGUUGAGAAGAGUGCAUCGGUAGAUCCUCAGCAUCAAGUUACUACUGCCGAUGCAGGAAGUAAGGGCUUGGUCCAGGAAGGAACUACCUCAGGAAGGCCUCCUCGGUCUGGUAUCGUUAUAACUCAUAGAAGGCCUCGAGAAAAUUGGCAGCAACGGGAGGAUCGGUAUCGGCGCCAGCAAGAAGAUUAUCGACGGGAGGAAGAAAGACGCCGACAGGAGUGGAAUCGGCACAGAGAUCAUUGGAAUUGUCCGUUCUUCAUCCAUUGUUGGGAGGAAAAUAUCAAGCUUCCUACUGUCAGAGACUGUCCUGAGUGCAACGGUUAUGAUCGGUACGAUAGAACCGAUCGGCGUUAUCAUGAUGAUGAUCGGCGAUUUAAUGGGCCAAUCAGAGGAAGGGCGUCAGUUCAUGAUCGGCUGGGGGGCAGGCUUAGCGUGCACGAUAGGCUUGGUAACCGUGUCCAGUAUUUUCCCAGGAACCAGGAGGAGCUCGAGGAGAUGGCUAAUGCGCGGGUUCCCGAUGAGUUCAUAUUUUGCAGGGAUGCUCACACGCAUCGUAUGGAGUCAAGGGAGAAUCGACGCCCGACAGCAAGGCAAAAGCCACUUCCUCCAUGGUGCCCUGAAGGAUUAACCAAGACACAGAAAAGGAGAUUGCAACGUGAAAGGCAAGAGGAGCUAAGCAAGGGCGAGGACUCUGGAAAUCAGCAGCCAUCAGACCCUAAGAGGGAAGGUCCAUCGGCAGGAGUCAACAUGGUCUGUAUGUUGCCGAUGGAGUUUCUUGCACCAUCCAGUGAUGAUGAGUUAGAGUUUUCUGAUCAGAUAGCUCAGCUGGCUCUGGAUCCUAUGACAGCUAUCUUUGAGAAACCUGCCGAUGAUGAAAGACAGCAUCUCAAAGCUUUGUUCGUCAAAGGCAGAGUUGAUGGGCAGCCAAUGACCAAAAUCCUAGUUGAUGGUGGGGCUGCUAUUAAUAUUAUGCCGUACGCAGUGUAUCGGAAGCUUGGGAGAGGAGAUCAGGAUUUGACCAAGACCGAUAUGAUGCUCAAAGAUUUUGAAGGAAACGUGUCUCCAGUCAAGGGGGCAAUAUGUGUGGAGUUGACCAUCGGCAGCAAAACCUUGCCGACAACUUUCUUCGUGAUCAGUGGAAAGGGUGCUUACAACUUAUUGUUGGGAAGAGAUUGGAUUCAUGCCAAUUAUUGCGUCCCAUCUACAAUGCACCAAUGCUUGGUUCAGUGGGUAGGUGACAAGAUUGAGAUUGUCCCAGGAGAUUCUUCUUAUGUUAUUGCAUCGGCAGAGGCGGAUACCUAUGAAAGGACUAGGUGCAUUUCAGGGGAAGUUUGGGAGAAAGAUUUUCUCAAAGUUGCCGAUUACGAGAUUCCACCGAUCCAAGCAGUCGGUUCUGACGACGGUUUUUAAUGGAUAGAUUCGCCGAUGAUGGAAAAUUAGGCCAGGGAUUCACAUCGGCCGAUGAUUUGGUAGAAGUAGAUAUAGGUAGUGGUGAUAAGCCUAGGCCUACUUUUAUUAGUGCUAAAUUAGAUCAUGAGUGUAAGCAACAAUUAACUAGUUUGUUAAAAGAAUAUAAAGAUUGCUUUGCUUGGGAUUAUACCGAGAUGCCUGGUUUAGACCGAUCAAUUGUUGAACAUCGGUUACCCAUCAAGCCUGGAUUUCGGCCACAUCAGCAACCAGCUCGCCGAUGUAAUCCUAACAUUCUAUCUGAUAUUAAGGCCGAAAUCACCAAACUCAUUGAGGCUAAGUUUAUUCGGCAGUGUCGGUAUGCCGAAUGGAUUUCCAAUGUUGUUCCGGUUUACAAGAAAAACGGGAAGCUUCGGGUGUGCAUUGAUUUCAGGAAUCUCAAUAAAGCUACACCGAUGGAUGGAUACCCAAUGCCUAUUGCCGAUCUGUUGGUUGACGCUGUGGCUGGUCAUCGGGUCAUCAGCUUUAUGGACGGCAAUGCAGGAUACAAUCAAAUAUUCAUGGCAGAAGAAGAUAUUCCAAAAACCGCAUUUAGGUGUCCUGGUCAUGUUGGGUUAUUUGAAUGGAUAGUCAUGACCUUCGGGUUAAAGAAUGCCGGUGCUACUUAUCAAAGGGCCAUGAAUUUUAUAUUCCAUGAGUUCAUCGGCAAGCUGGUGGAGAUUUAUAUUGAUGAUGUGGUGGUCAAGUCUGGAGUUUUCUCAAAGCAUCUUGCCGAUUUACGAAAAGUGUUAGAGUGCACAAGGAAGCAUGAUUGAAGAUGAAUCCCAACAAGUGUGCAUUUGGUGUAUCGGCAGGGCAGUUUCUUGGUUUCAUGGUACAUCAAAGGGGGACUGAAAUUAGUCGAAGAUCUAUUGAUGCCAUCAAUAAGAUAGUGGCCCCCACCAACAAGACUGAGCUCCAGUCCUUGAUCGGCAAGGUAAAUGUUAUCAGGAGAUUUAUAUCCAAUCUGUCUGGUAAGAUUCGUGCUUUCAGUCCUCUUCUUAAAUUGAAAGCCGAUCAAUAAUUUAUUUGGGGAAAGGAACAGCAGUUGGCUCUGGAUGAAAUCAAGAAGUAUCUAGUAAAUCCUCCAGUUCUAGUUCCACCUCAACAAGGAAAGCCCUUCAGAUUGUAUUUGUCUACCGAUGGGAUAGUUAUCGGUUCAGCUCUAGUUCAAGAAUUUGAAGGGAAAGAAAGGGUAAUUUAUUACUUGAGUAGGAGGUUGAUUGAUGCUGAAACCAGGUAUUCGGCCAUUGAGAAACUAUGCUUAUGCUUAUAUUUUUCAUGUAUUAAGUUGAGACAUUACUUGUUAUCGGCCGAAUGCACUGUUGUUUGCAAAGAUGACGUGGUCCGGUACAUGCUAUCUAUGCCAAUUAUGAAUGGCAGGAUUGGUAAGUGGAUUUUAGCGCUGUCGGAGUUUGAUCUGCGUUACGAAUCGGCUAAGGCAGUCAAAGGGCAGAUUAUGGCCGAUUUUGUGACUCAGCAUUGCGGUGUAGUGGAAACCUUGGAAAUUGUACCCUGGACGCUCUUCUUUGAUGGAUCUACCUGUGACCGGGGGGCAGGAAUCGGCAUUGUAUUAGUUUCCCCUAAGGGGAGGAAGUACGAGUUUUCCUUACCGAUUGUUGCAACAUCAACGAAUAAUCAGGCAGAGUAUCAGGCUCUGAUCAAGGGAUUGGAAUUGUUGAGGGAAGUUCGUGCUGAUGCUAUUGAAAUCUUCGGAGAUUCUAUGUUGGUUAUAAAUCAAUUGGCCGGGAGUUAUGAAUGCCGAAGCGAGAUUCUCAUUACUUAUUACGAGAAGAGCAUGCAACUGUUAAAGGAAUUCAAGGAUUUCCGAUUAGAGCAUGUUCCUCGAUUGCAUAAUGAAGAGGCCAAUCGAUUGGCUCAGCAUGCCUCGGGAUAUCAGCCUAUGAUUAAUGCGAUAUCGGUAAUCGGUGCCGAUGAUUGGAGGAAGGAAAUUAUUGAUUAUCUAAAAGAUCCAUCUAAAAAAGUCGAAAGACGAGUUCGGUUUCAAGCAACCAAAUAUGUGCUCCUUGAAGAUGAAUUGUAUUAUCGAACUAUUGACGGAAUUCUUCUCCGAUGCUUGGGUGAUGAUGAAGCUAGAAGUUUGAUGGGAGAAAUCCAUGAAGGAGUGUGUGGAGCGCAUCAGUCAGCUUUUAAAAUGAAGUGGAUGAUUCGAAGGAAUGGAUAUUUUUGGCCGACCAUACUUGAGGAUUGUUUUAAAUAUUUCAAGGGGUGUCAAGGUUGUCAAAAGUUUGGUAAUAUUCAAAGAGCACCCGCAUCGGCUAUGAAUCCUAUAAUAAAGCCUUGGCCGUUCCGGGGAUGGGCUAUCGAUCUGAUCGGCCAGAUUUAUCCACCAUCUAGCAAAGGGCAUAAGUUCAUUCUAGUUGCCACUGAUUAUUUCACUAAGUGGGUUGAAGCUAUUCCUUUGAAGAAAGUCACAUCGGCCAAUAUGAUUGAUUUUGUGAAGGAGCAUAUUAUUUACCGAUUUGGGAUCCCUCAAACGAUUACUACCGAUCAGGGCACUAUGUUCACAUCGGGGGAGUUUGAUGAAUUCGCAAUCGGUAUGGGGAUUAAAGUGUUGAAUUCUUCUCCUUAUUAUGCUCAAGCCAAUGGGCAGGCCGAGGCGUCUAACAAAGGAAUUAUCAAGCUUAUUAAACGAAAGAUUGAAGAAAAUCCUAAGCGGUGGCAUACAUUAUUAAAUGAAGCAUUGUGGUCUUAUCGGAUGGCUUGUCAUGGAUCAACCAAGGCGUCACCCUAUCAAUUGGUGUAUGGACAUGAUGCGGUGUUGCCUUGGGAAAUUAAGGCUGGAUCUAGGCGAUUAUCGUUUCAAGAUCAAUUAACUUCCGACGAUUAUGCCACUUUGAUGACCGAUGAAUUGGAUGAUCUAGCGGGGCAUCGGUUAAAAGCCUUAAUGAGUAUAGAAGAAAAUAAGAAGAGAGUUGCUAGAUGGUAUGAUAAGAAAGUGAAGGCUAAGGAGUUUGCCGAUGGGGAUUUGGUAUGGAAAUUAAUUUUACCAAUCGGGACUAAAAGUUCGAAGUUUGGAAAGUGGUCUCCUAAUUGGGAGGGUCCUUAUCGGAUAAGUCGAUCGGCUCCUGGUAAUGCCUAUAUUCUAGAAACUCUCGAAGGAGUUGAAUUUCCCAGAGCAUUAAAUGGCAAAUAUUUAAAGAAGUACUGCCCCAGCAUAUGGGUCGAUGCAUAAAAGUUUCAGUGCCGAUAACACUCCUAUCGGCUGAAUUAAAAUGUAUCUAGAGCCAGAUUUGAUGUUUCAAAAAAUGCCGAUAACAGUCCUAUCGGCUAGACUAAAAGCUGAGGAAGCAGGAAAGCACAGAUAUGAUGCCGAUAAAAACUCUAUGUGUUAAGCAAUGCCUGGAUUGCCGAUAUAGCGCGCAGCCGGAUUUGGUUGGCUGCUUCUAUUUCCUUAAUGUCAUCAUCGGCAGAACCUUCUAUCGGCUUUAGCUUCUUCUUCAGUUGAAGUGCCUUGCGACCAUGAGCAUUUCGCUCGUGCUCAAGAAGCUUAAUGGUCUCUGGCAAUUGGCUCUCUUCCUGUUGGACUUGGGAUAAGGCAUCCUCCACUUCCUUGAGUUCCGCCAACAGGGAUUCUCUUCUUGCCGACAGAUCGAAUAUUUUCUGUUUCAGCACGUCUCCUCAAGAUCUCAGGAUGCCGAUGUUCUUGUGCUUCUCAUUGGUCAAGAGCUUCUCUUUCCUCAUUUCAACGGAGAGUUGAGUCUGAGCGGCUCUAUCGGCAAGACGCCGAGAAGCUCUCUGGUACUGCAGCUGGCGACUCUCCAAAUGAGCGGCUUGGAACAGGAUUUCUUCGACGUCGGCUGGGAUUUGGCCUCUGAGAGUUCUGAACAGGGUCUUGGUAGGGUCGGAGUCAUCAACCAAUUGCGCUGUGUCCUGGUGAAGGAGAGCUAACAAUUCUUCCAGCCUGGCCCUGAUCUCUGCCGAUGUAAUGCCGACUGUCUGAGAAGAGCUUGCUUCUUCGCCUUCUUCUUCAGAGAGAUCGAUGGCGAAGGAAAACAGGCUAUCGGGAGAAUCUUGUUCCUGGGAGGGAAAGCAAGGUUAGCUCAUAUUCAGAGAAUCGGCAAAUAAUGCUGACGGUAAACAGUGACUUACUUGCUUCAAGGCGAUCUCUUGCCUUGGACUGGGAGGUGCUGACGGAGCUGCAGGCUGAUCGGCCAAAGAUGCCGAUGGAACUACAGGUUGAUCGGCUAAGGUUGCCGAUGGGACGAUAUCGACUGAAAGAAGACAAGAAAGGGUAUGAGACUAAAUGAGAAUAAGUUCAUCGGCAACGGUAUUGUUAAAGUAUGUUACCUGGAGGAGGAACAAUGGUUGUCUGAAUCGGGAGAACCGCCGAUGAUAUAAUUGGACCCACCGGACCAGUUGUUUGUUCACCCACAUCAGCUGAUGUACCUUCUGUUUGAGGCUCUUCCUGCUGGGGUUCUUCCAUCUGUGGUGCUUCCUGCAUUGGUUGGGGAGAUGGUGCUUGCUGUGUCUGGACUUCUGGAGAAGAAGGAGAAGACUCCACUGGGAUUGGAGAUACCGGAGGAGGAGGGGGAGUUGCCACUUUUUGGCGUUUCGUUUCGGCCCUGGUGCUCUUGACACCCUUCCUCUUUGGCUGGCUGGACUGGGGGGCAUCGGCACCUUGACGUGUGACCUUUGCCGAUGCACUGGUUUGCUGCAAUAACGAACAAGGGUUUAUAAGUAUAAAUAAAGCCGAUAUAAAGAUAGUCAGCGUAAAAGAAAAAGAUUUGACAAAUUGCCUUGAAAGCCCGCACCAGAGUGGGAGCAGCUACCGUUGGUGAUGUCUGGGUUCUCCUGGUGGUGACUUUCCUGAGGCGCACACCCCGAUGCACGAUGGAAGCCAGAGUGGGAGCAUUGUGGCCGAUUGAGGAAAUCGGGCCUGAUGGAAACAAGUCGAUCGGCUUGCCACUCCUGCUAACCGAUGGGGGGAUGUCGUCCACCUGCAAAAGGAAUACAAGGGUAAGCUACCGAUGGAAAUAAUGUUGAGAAAAUCAAACAUCGGUUGGAGAUGCUUAUAGUGUCAUCGGGAAUUUCGUAUUCGGAGUCGAUCAUGCCGCGGUAUGAAAGGGCCGAUCUGCAGAAUAGAUGCUCUUUCCAUUCUGCCCACCAUAACUUGUAUGCCUGAGUGAUAAAAGCAGCCGGAACCCAUUCUGACAGAUCUACAUCUGUAUGGGCGUUUGGUGGUAGUUGGGCUACUCGACUCCACUCAAGAAAGUUGUUGAUAGUUUCUUUGGGUUUUAUCACAUCGGCAUAAGGAAGUGCGAUCGGCAACUGGCCGAAAGCUAACUGGCGAGCUAAUGCCGAUGGAUUGUAAAAUUCAUAAGUCUGGGGAGAGGUUUUUGUGCUACCGAAGAAAUUCACUGGAAUGGCUCUGGGAGUCACAAUUGCCAUCAUCGCCUCAUUGUCCCUGUCGAGAGCUUCAUCAAAUGGAUUGAAGGUCAGAGGGAGCAUGCUAUCUGGGUCAUCAUAAGCCAACCAUGGUCGUUCAUCUUUGGCCAAACCCUCAUACAGAGUCUGGAAGAAUCGGCCGAUCUGAUCCGGAUUACUCCCUGAACCAGGUAGAACUAUGACAGCUUCGCCAAAGUUCAAGGGGGCACGCGUUGCCGAUUCCUCUUCACCCAACACAUGAUUUUCGGCUAUAUCUCUUGGGAAGUGCUGUGUGAACAAGUUGAAAUCAAGGCGCUUAUGCAGGUGCAGAUUGAGCCACAUAUUAAUAAACCACCAGGGGCCUCCCAAGUUGCCGAUGGACUGGCCAACCAGGAGUUUCUGGGCUACCUGAUGGAGAAGAUGGUAAACAGCGCCAAGCAAGUAUCAGCCGAGAGGAAAUUGGCCACCAUUAGCCAGUCUCUCUGCUGCCGAUAGAUAGACGGAAGUCGGUCCUGCCGAUCGACCACAGAAUACAAACUUGUCCAUCCACAUGUUCAGAAAGGUGGUUUGCUCCUUUAUGGUGACAGGCCCUCUCCCGCGGUACUUCUGAAUGUACCCUGACCAACCGCCGAUAGCGCGAGUCUCCACUUUGGCACUGGGGGCAGUAUCAAAAAAGUGGGUGCUAUCGGCAGAAGAUAUAUCUAGACCAGUGAGCAUGGCUACAUCGGCAAGGGUAGGAGAAGCAGGGCCGUGGCCAAAAACAAAAGCAUUGAGGGUGUCUGACCAAAAGUAGGACGCAGCUAUCAGCAGUGACUCGUUCCUGUGCAUAUCGGCAAUGGAUAGCCUAAUGCAUUGGGCUAGCUUCCUUUCGCCCCACUGGACUUCAUAAGAAUUGCUGACCCUCAAGAACCAUUCCUUCCACCCUACGGUAGGGCUGGGCCAAGAGCGAAAAGUGUCUUUCCACAGAUCUAAAGAAAAGUUUUCAGCUCUAAAGGGGAUCCUGUUGGAUUCUGCGUUGAUAAGGUCGGUUGGAUCUGAAUCCCCUAGAGGGCCGAGACAUUGAAGGUGUGGUUGAUCGGUAGGGAUGACACUUUUAUUGGACAACUCCUAGUGAUUUUGGGGGUAAAAGAAAUACACAAAAAAAAAGAGGAGGAAAAAGAAGAUAUUCAGUAAAAUGAAUUACGGAUGAACAGAGAUACGAGGAAAAAUAUGCAGGAGACGGGAUGGAGAUCUGACCUCAGGAACGACAAAGCUAACGGCCAUCUUGCCGCGAAGAGAGCGUUUGAGGGCACCGGAGUUGAUGAGUAGGAGUGCUUGACGGAGGUCUUGGGAGUUUCGAAUGGCGCCGCCGCUAGAAAAGUAAGGUUGGGCGGUGGAAUGAUGUGAUGGGGAAGGAGUACCCGAGAAGGAACUAUUUAUAGGACAAAAUGGACAAGGGCAAAUCUGACUUAUCUCUUUGCCGCAUCCGAGAAAUCUGAGGGUACUCAGGUAGAUAUGGUAACUGUUCGCACGGUAAUCAAGGGAUUGCGCAGGUGAUUUGACGGGAGGCGGUCAUUAUUGAAGAUAUUUUACUGUGCGAGAUCUCCUGGUCGGUCCAUCGGCAGCGUUCUAUAACGGUCAUAUUGCCGAUGCGCGGAUAGAGGGGAGGUAGCCGUUUGUACGAACAUCCUGGCUAGUACAUCGGCAGAUCUUUGUAAUGGUAUUAUUGCCGAUGUACGGUUGAGAGAGAAAAGCCCGUUUAGGAAGUUGGGGAUUUCGAGGAAUCUGCGGAGGUAUAGGAUCAGAGUUGUUCAGAUUGAGGUUGUCGGUUACCAAAUUAGGAGCAUUAAUUGCGGGAAAAGGCAUCAUUACUGCAGUGAAUUUCGGAGCAUUAAUAGUUUUAUACUCCGAAAUUGGGGGCAUGUGUUGACACCGUUUUUGGGCACGUGUCUAGGAUGGCAGGAUAAGGUGGCAGUAUGCUGUUUACAGGGUGAGUUACCGAUGAGGAUGGUUGCCGAUGAAGGAGAAGUUGAACGUGACUAAGUCUACAGGCAGUGAUAUGACUGUGCCGAUGGCUAGAUAAGAAAGUCUGCCGAUGACUAUGGCAAAGGGUCUGCCGAUAAUACAAAGAGGGAAUCCGGAAGCUGCCGGUCGUUGUGUGGAGGAGUUUCAGUUUGUCACGGGGGAUAGUUUUGUUAUUUCCUUAAUUAUGUACAUCAUUUUGUAUACGGAUUCCGUGUAAUUUGGAAUUCGAAUUCUAAUCGUGUCUAGUUGUAGCUCUUUGAGCAGGGUAUAAAUAUGGACCCUAGGGCCUUGUAAUGAGAUCUAUCAAUCAAUCAAACACACGUUUUUACUCAUAUUCCAGUAUCUACUUUUCGACGACUUCGUCAUACUUUUUCCUUUUAUUACGAGUUCUUAGGAAUUCGUCGACUUAAGCUCGGCGUGUUCUCGAGUUUCGCGUGAGUACCUCUUAGCCGUGACAUCCGGGCGCAUCGCUGUUGUCAGGACUAAAGUAUUCGAGUUAUCACCUUUGCCGAUAGUAAGGUCAAAUCGGCUGGCACGCCUUAACGUUUGAAUCGGGUAUUAGCCCUUUGUGUUUGCAGACCAGCUUUGCAUCAACAAAACCUUGAGCUUGUCUCGUAAUGGGCCAAGCCUCCUGGCCCAAGUCUAGCCGUAAGGGUAUAGGGGUUUAUACCCCCACAGUUGGUUGUUUGUUGGCCGUUCGAUCAGUCAGUAGUUCUUGCAAUGGCACGUUGCAAGAAUGUCAGUGGACCGGCAGCCAGCGCAGGAGGUUCCCCAGGGGUUGAUGGUGGAGGUGAUCCUCCCCGUCACCUGUCAGCGGCAGAGAAGGGCAAGGGAAAGAAGUUGGCCACCAAGAAGCGCAAGGCCAGCGACAGAGAGGUAGAGGUGGCUGAGGCAGUUGCAGCAGCAGCAGAGGCAGCUGAGAGGGGAGGACGGUCAGGUGCCCUUCGGAUUGGGGCAGAUCUCACGCCACGUCAGAGGCGUGCAGUACUUGAGGCCGAGGCUCGACAUGCAUCACCACCAGGCACCAUCAUGCUAGGAGGGCAGCGUGUCAGGAUCAACAUCAGAGAGCCAGCUCAGGAGGAUCCAGACACAGAUACAGAGGCAGAGGCCCCGGCAUAGGGGCCAGCAGAGGGACAGGAGCAGGAGCAGCCCCUCAGGAGGUCGACUCGCGCACGUACCCAGGCCACUCCUCGGACUGGUACGCAGGGCCAGUCCACCUCCACUGCUCGUGCCACACCAGCCAGAGGCACUCCAGCUUCACGACAGAGGCCAGUCAGGAUCCACAGGGAUCUCACCCUUGUGUCAGCCAGAGAGAUCCAGAAGCUGCGGUUCGUUCCAUUUCCCACCUGGUUUCCAGCUGCCAGGAAUCCUAGAGCCGGUGAAAGGUUCUACACAGUCGUCCAGGAGGACAUCCACGAGGCACUGGUUCGCUCUCAGUCUCAGUUCAGGGAGCACCGAGUUAUUGACCUUGAGAUACUCGGGAACGUGGUUGGGGCAGAUAUUCGUCAGUAUUUCACCUACCUCCACGAACUCCCAGAGUUGCUAGCACUCCCUGGUACUUAUUGUGAGCAGUGGGUCAGAGAGUUCUAUGCGUCAGUGUGGGUGUCUCUAGACCAUAGCUACAUCCACUACGCUCUGGCAGGCACCGACUACAGAGUGACAGCACAGAGGGCCAGAAUGGUGCUUGGGCUGCGAGCUUACUCCGCCAGGAUUCACCAGCUAUGCUACGGGAAAGUUGAGCCUCCCCGACGUCCUCACGGUGGUGAGAUACCACCAGUUGACUUCGUGGCUCCUUGAUUCCGUCCACCGUUUGGAGAGGGCUCCAGCAGGACAGUGGGAGACUUGACACGACCAGCUAGGAUCCUCGACUUUGUGUUGAGGAAGACUCUUCUCCCCAGGACAGAUUACAGAGAUGGCUUCACUCGUAUCCAGCAGUGGCUAGUUGCUCACCUCAUCUCCCAGAUGCAGUUUGACUUGUCAGAUCUAAUCGUCUCAGAGAUAGAGGACACCAUCUCAGAGAGCUUCAGGGGACGGCGUCAGUUGCCAUACGCACAUUGGAUCACCUUGCUUAUUCUCCUUGCCAGGCCACUACCCCUGCCAACUCACUUGUAGAGGGAGUUGACAGAGUCAGACACCGUGUUCCCCCACUACGACCCCAGGCAGAUGCUGCGAGCACACCACAACCUCCAAGCUACUCCUCCUCCUCGUGCACCACGUGGACCGGUGCCCCCACCUUCUCCUAGGGGCACUGGCAGUACAGCAGCAGUACCAGAGACAGAGGAGCAGCAGGACAUAGCCAUUGGGGCUUUCGCAGAUGCAGAGGCAGAGGGAGAGUUUGACUUCGCCUCAGACAGCUCGGAUGAUGAUUAUCAGCCGCCAGUGUUAGACAUCCCUCCAAGAGCACACGACCACGAGGCAGGGGGCUCCUCUAGUGCUUCAGACCCAGCUUUACUUGCUAUUCUAGAGGGUAUGAGGGUAGAUCAGCGACGUGCAGCUGAGGAGCAGGCGAGGCGAGACAGGGACCAGGCUGCCAUCAAUGCAGCCAUGCAGGCCAGGCAGGAUGAGCUCCAGCGCCAGCUUCUCACCUUUCAGGAGCAGCAGCUUGCGUUCCAGGCCCAGCAGACAGCGAUGAUGGCCGCUCUCAUGGCCGCCUCAGGGAUUCAGCUACCGCAGAUUCAGCUCCCAGGCACCUCGACUGUCAGACCACCCACUCCAGUGCCUCAGACUCAGAGCCAGUCUCAGCAGCCUCUCCAGCUACCAGCUCAGAGUCAGCUGUUCUCGACGCCUCAGCACCAGGUCUCCCAGGGUGCUAUCUCCUCUAGCUUUGAGCAGGUACCACAGUUUACACCUCUCCGCUCUGGUUUCACAGCGCAGUCAGCGUCAGCGUCUUAGCUUUUGUUGGAUACAUCGACAGACCCGCACCUCAGCUUCUCCUACAGUGCUCUGACUGGUGACCCUACGCCUUCACCUCUGCAGGCUCCAGCCAUCUUUACGGCGCCAGUCACCACUACAGAGCGUCUGUCAUCGUCUGUAGCGUCGUCUGAGCAGCUUGCACCGUCUUCCACCGUGCCCGAGACGACAGCCACAGCGACCGAGUCCGUGCCAGCUUCGUCAGCAGGACUCGAGCAGCCAGCACAGCCCGUGACAGCUCCAGCACCUACAGAGCAGACCCGAACCGCUUCGCCAGCUCGUGCAGCUUCAGAGGGUCACUCUACCUCCUCUGCCUCGACGGCCGACAGUUCAGACGAUGCAGCUCGCUUUGAGGCCGUGCCGAGGGACUCCACAGCUUCGCCUCCUCUACCGACCUCUUAGGUUUUUUGGCGCUUGAUGCCAAAGGGGGAGAGAGUGCGAGUAUGACAGUAGAGUGCGAGUAUGAGAGUUAGGAGUUAGGGGGAGCUAGGAGCUAGAGAGGGAGCUUUUAUUCUUUUGAGAUACUUUUAUGUGUGCUUCUUUACCAUGCAUCACGUUUAAUUUUAUGCAUUGCACUUUUGUGAGAUACUAUGGUUGUGAGACAUGACUUGUGCUUAUUGUGCUAUAUUAAAUGUCAUGUGUUUUUGGCUCAUAUCCCUUUGCUUCCGCGUUUUACUCCGAUGUACUUAUGAGCCUUGUGUUUAUAUCCUGUCGUAUACCACUCACAUUUUUGGAUACAGGAUAUUGGACUUGGUUGAUAUAAGCAUGACUAAUCCCUUUGCUCUUAUUGUAACAUGCUUAUUGAAAUCAAGUCAUUUUGAAAACCUCAACUCUUUUCAUACUAGAGGUUGUCAUCAAUCACCAAAAAGGGGGAGAUUGAAAGAGCAUCUAGGCCCCUAGUGAUUUCGGUGAUUAAUGACAUUGUUGAUUACUAUGACUAACGUGUGUUUUGCAGAGGCAAAGUCAUAGGUAAGGUCAUGGUAAAUAGGUACUCAAUGGACAGGGAUGUACAUGCCUACUUAAUAGUGGAAAUCGUUUCGGCUUUCAAAGGAUGGAUGGACAUCGUCAAGACUAGACUAGGUCUAAGUGCCAUUUGGUGAAGAAGGGCACUUAGAAUAGUUUAGGACUUUGUUUUCCUUUGACCGUACUAUUAAGAGGGGCUUUGAUCUAGUAGCUUGACUUAGGCAAUGCUUUAGGUUUAGGUGUGGUGCACACUUCGUAAACCUAGCACUAGGCAGCUCAGAGAUAGUCCUUAGAUCGAGAGGAACAAACUUUGUUUUGGAGCGAUCGCGUUUCGACGAAGUUUGGGUGCCCAAAGGCGCACCGGACGCUGCAUCGGACGCUCUGUGAGUGCGUCCGGUGAGGUCCUUAGCCGUUGGAAUAGUGUCGUGCUUAGGGUUAGGCACCGGACGCUAGCACCGGACGCACCGGGUGGCGUCCGGUCCCAUACCCAGUGAGGUUGCAAGUUUUCCCCGAGCACCGGACGCUAGCACCGGACGCACCGGGUAGCGUCCGGUCCCAUGCGCAGGGAGCUUGUAAGUUUCCCCAGAGCACCGGACGGUGCACCGGACGCUGAGGUUAGCGUCCGGUGACCUGUCAGAAGGAAGUACAAUUAGCCGUUAUGGAGCACCGGACGCUCGGUGUAGUGCGUCCGGUGCAACAUAAUGUGCGUCCGAUGACCCCGUUUUCAGUGGAAAACGGUUGGCCGACCUUUGGACUUUGUGGAUAGUAUUUAUACUCCUCCACCUCGUCCAUGAGAGCUCUCUUGCCCAUUUGAACAUCAGAGAAACUUGUUGUGGAGGAAGAGAGUAGCAAGAGCCUAAAGAGGAUUGAGAUUUGAGUGAUUUCUUGAGAGAAUCCUUCUCUAGUGAGUUCCAAGAGUCAAGUGUGCAUCCAUCACUCUCUAGAGCCUUGUUUGGGUCAAGUGAGAGUUCUUUGCUUGUUACUCUUGGUGAUCGCCAUCACCUAGACGGUUCGGUGGUGAUUGGAGGCAUGAAGACCGCCCGGAGUUCUUGUGGUUGGCUCGUGUCAAGCUUGUGAGCGGUUUUGGGCGAUUCACCGCGACAGAGUGUCAAAGAAUCAGCCCGUAGAGAGCACUUGGUCCUUGCGCGGACCAAUGGGAAGCAAGACCCUUGCGCGGGUGCUCCAACGAGGACUAGUGGAGAGUGGCGACUCUCCGAUACCUCGGCAAAACAUCGCCGAGCACUUUCUUCCACUACUCCUUUACUUUCUAGCAUUUACUUUGUGUUUUUACAUUCUUAGAAUUGCCAUGCUAGAAUAGGAUUGGAACUAGGUUGCAAAACUUUUUAUCCGGUAGCUCUCUAAGUCACACUAGGCACAAGGGGUUGAAUUGGAGCUUAUAGGUUGCUUAAAUUUUUAGAGAAGCCCAAUUCACCCCGCUCUUGGGCAUCUUGAUCCUUUCAGCCUCCACCUUGGUGACUCAAACUAUUGACACUAGAUUUUUAUGGGCAGAGACUGCUUGUGGGGUCGCUCCAUUGAACGAAAGAUGGCUGAUUUGUUGGAUUGGCUAGGCGAAGGUCAAAUAGCGAUGGUCGAUCGGGACGAGUCGAACUUCGAUAAGCAAAGGAAGAGAAUGUGUCGGGCUUCAUCAAGAAAGCAAAGAUUAGAGUCCAAGUUACCUUUUCAGUAGUCGUGCUUUGUUAAGACUUUUGUUUCUGGAUUAUAAAUACCGAAGACCAGAUUAUUGUAAAGGAGAAUUCAAUCAAAUACACAACCUUUUUGGCUUCGGCAACAAACUUUACGAGUAGGAGUAAAAGUAGAUCUCGACAAGAUCUUCAACAAAUCAAGCUGCAUCAGUUGAUUUUGACCUUUGGUUUGCUUGUAAGUAUUGUUACGGUUCAUAUCUAGUUAUCACGACUACAACAUUUGAUCUCGUGUUAAGCUUGAUUUGACCUAUUUAUCACUUUAGAUCUUAUUUGUAAGGCUGCAUUGUUGCAAUCUCUUACAAGUAAUUGAUUUAAGCUAGUUAUCGGCUCUAUUAAAUUGACAAUUUAGUAGAUUCAUUAAGUUAUCAAUAUUAUUCAUACUUAAUGAUUUAUUUAUUACAACAAUAUUUUGCCCAAUCGAGAUCUGAUAGAUUGGAUUAAACUUUAACUUUGUUAAAUUCUAAGUUGUCUUAAAGAAUUUUAAUAAAAUAUUAAUUAUUAUCAAAUAGUCGAUCAAGCCUAUAUCAGCUAAUCUGUCGAUCAGGAUUGUUACAUGUUGUGCGUUCGUGAUAUUUGUUUUAUCAUAAUUAGUUUGGAACUACAACAAGACCUAGCUUAAUAUUACUUGUUAUCGGCUGUAUUUUUGGAACCCCACUGUCAAGUGUAUUAAGUUAAGUUUAACUAGAUCCAAAUCUAAUUAUGACAAAAUAAAUAGAUCUUGUUUAUGUUUCAUGAACCCUGUAUCGACUAAAUAGCCAAUCCAGUCGUACCUCAACGAGUAGUAUGCAUGUAUAAAUCUAAUUCGGAUAUUGAGUAAACUAUUAAGAUGUAUCGAGUUUAUUGAAACUCGCUGGGCUUUAGACCAGCUAAAUAUAGAUUUAAUACACUUAUAGAAAAUAACUUAUUAAGACCGCAGAGCUUCAGACCAGUGUUGUUGAUAUUUCUAAUACGAUUACAAAUAAGAAAUUCAAACCUUAUCCUAGUAAAGGCAUUAGAAAUGUUCACGACAUCUUCAAGCAUUGCUUAAGUUAGGUUGUCAUCCCAACACAACAUCAAAAGAUGUGGUUGUACUUAUGAUCAUGGCACUAUAGAAAAUAAAUGAAGGAUAUCUGCAAGUGCAUAGAUAAAAUACACCCAUUGUAGUAUUUCAUCCAGGAAAGUUCAAGGUAUUGUUAUUUAUAAUUUUACCAAUGGGAAAGCACUUGGAGGUAUGAAAGUUGUAUCUUACACUUAUGAUAAGAGUUCCACUAGAUCAAUACUUAAAACAGGGAACAAUCAUAUCAUAAACAAGGAUAAUUAAUAACAAGUCAACAUAUCUCAAAAGGAUUCCACCGAGCAUUUCCUACUUGGGCGUGAUUCUAGAAAGAACUAGAAAAUAUAGACUAACUCCUAGGGUUAUUCUAACUAUAGGUCAUUGAGCUACCUUAAUUAGUGCAAUUAUAUUUAGUAAUCAUAGUCAUGACUUCACUUGUAUCCAUACACAAGAGACAUUGCUAAGGUAGAUCAGGAACAAAGCAAGACAUCACACCGCAACUUCACCUUACUAGUCCUAUAUUUGGGGAGUGGACUACGUAGGACUCAACGAAGCUGUCACCUUCACGAUCUAUCACAUGACCCGGAACAUAGGGUGCAUUCACAGAUAGGCAUUGUCUAAGCACCAUGCUUAUACAACUUCUACCAACCAUCCCUGAAUUCAAAGGGUAAGCACUAUACGAACAAGGACAUAAACACAAAUGUCACACCCAAAUUUCAAGAACGAAAUAGAGUGUAUAAAAUACUCAUGUGCGCCCUAGAAACAGUCAUACACAUAAGUAGACAAAUCUCAAAUAGUACCAUCACAAUGUUUAUUACAUAAUGGAAUAAUAAUCAACACAGUUCUUAAACGAUAAAGAUAGUUCUACUAAAGAAGCUCUCAAUGGAAGCAUCACACAGGGACAACUGUCGACUGGUUAACUCCAAACCUAGUACUCAUAACGGUAAUCCUCAUUCCAGUCAUCUUCAUUUGUAUAUCCUGAGGUGUUGUGAAAUAGCAAGAGUGAGCACAUAUCAUACUCACCAAGUAUAACUAGGGGUUCCUAAGGCUCAAUUAGCUGACACUGGUUAGACUACAUUUAACUUUUAUAUGUAUAUAACAUGUUCAUCAUUGGAUAGCAGAUAUCAAGGUAGCAUAAUUAAUCCCAUAACCACAUGAUCAAUGUAAGCAUAAUUAAUACUAGACAUAAACGAUAAGUAAAUGCUCAUAAUAACAUAACAAGCGUCAUCAUCUUUAAUGUAGAUGUCCCCAAGACCGCUAGUAUCCGUGAGCACGGCUAGUAUACUAGUUUUAAACACUGUGCAGAUGAAGCGCCUCUGGUAAACCAGGAACUCAAAUGUGAUACAAUACUAGUCCCAGGAGGCUAGUAACACAUUUAUUACAUCAGAUAAGUUUCAGCGCAGUAGUCUUGGAAAGCGUGGACAAGGAAGACACGCGAUAAUAAUAAGACACCAAAAUACAACAUAGGUCCAAAGGACCCAGAAACAAACGAUUUCGCCAUCGAACAUCUGACGAGUCCCAAUGCCACAGGCUUAGUUGGGUGCAGACACGACCUUACUCGAAUGCCACUUCGGGAUCGAAGUCCGGAUCUUCCUCUGUUUAAUAAAGCAAGGGUGAGUACAAAGUACUCAGCAAAUCCAACCUUACCCUACGGAAGGGGAUAACAAUAUAUAUGCAUAUGGAUAAAUCAAGGAUGAGGCUUAGUUUUAUUUGCAUAAAGCUAUCUUUUUACACAUGCAAGGUUUCAUUUCACAAAUACUGUUGUAAAAGACCUCUUUUUCCACAUAUGAUAGUAUUUCUGAAAAUAGGGGUUUGAUCACAAUUUUAAGUGUUGUUGAACCCUUGUUCCCACAACACAAUGGCAGUCAACCAUUUAUUUCCAAAAUCACACUCACUCUCAUGUUUUCACUCAUCCCAACACAUCUAGUUGUUGAAACGAAACCAUAACCCGUCCGAGACCGCGGACACGGCUAUCCAGAUAGAUUUACACUCUGCAGAUGUUGUACACUUUUCCCACAAGUAGGAUACCAUAACUUACACCGUCGUGCAAGCACAGAUCCAUCAAAGUCAUUACCCUCCAUAGCUAAGUAAUGGCGCUCACCACGGGAACACUAAGGCCACAUCUCAUGAUACCAUAAUAAUUCACAAAGCUCUUUUCAUAUAUUUCCACAAUUUCAGAUACAUCACUUAAUGUCUCGUUGCACACCUGCCUCCAGAUGAUUGCCAUACUAACUAGAGGGAUUUAGACUAAGCCUUUCCCAUGCAAGGCGAGUGGUUGUACGAUAAAUGAGUUAGGCAAGAUGAAUCAUCAACUCAGUCCUUAAUCGAGACAAGACGGAUAUCUUCACGCUUAACCCCGCAAGGUAUAAGCCACAACACCAGGGAAUCCCCAAAAGAGAUCCCAUCCGCCCCAUCUCCAUAGUAAUCACAUCUAUAACUUGUUCAUUAACCCUUUCAUAAUACCCACAAUUUAUUCUCACCACUCACACCUUUUACUUUUAAAAUCAUUAUAUUUGAAAAAUAUAGCGAUGAGUAUCCAGGAUGAGUAACAAGUCCUAAGCAUACUAAAUAAUAAUAUUUCUGUCAUAGCAUAUUAUUUGUUCCUAGGUUUGAACAAGACAAUUACCGGGUAAUAUCAAUUCAAGGAUGGCUAUUCAACAGGUUUUAACUAAGCAACGAAAAUACUUCGUACAUAUAUUGUACAUGCAAUAUUUAAAACGGCUUCUACGGGUUGUGUUUAAAAAUAGGAUCAAUAUGCAUCAAAGGGAAUCAGUUGGACUUGCCUCCGUCGGCGUCCUCGGCAAACUCCUGCUGACAGUCCGGGUCCUCGGCGUCAAACUCGCGGUACUCGUCUCCAACGUUCUCGUUUUCCGGCUCGUUCACUCCGUCAACUAAAAUACGCGACGAACGACACAGACAAUAGGCACAGAUAAAUAAUCAUAUAAAUUCAAAUGAGCUCCAAAAAUUAUGAAAUUAUUAUGGGAGGUAGAUCAUGAUUUUAGAUGAAUUUAGGAAAAAGAAUUAUUAAAAUCAGAGUUAGCAUGUAGCAUUUGUGAAAUGGCCGGAAUUUAAUCAUGCGAAAAAGGCUAACGAUGAUUAAGGAAUGGAUGCUUCACGUGGGCAUUUGUUUGGCUGGUAGUGCAUGUUGCAUGCAUGCAUGUACUAUUUGGAGUUAAUGCUUGGCCCACACAUGCAUGGUUAGAGAGAAAUUAGCAGGGGUCAUUAGAACUCUUCUGUAUGUCAUGGUUCUAUUCGUGGAGUUCUUGGCAGUGAACCGGUACAGACAAAUACAUGGAAAAAUACAGAAAAAAUACUACAGAAAGACAGAGAAGAGCAAGGAGAUGCUCAUGAGCUGCUCACCUCGUCUUGCGACGACAGUCGAGCUCGGCUUGUGCGUAUGGCCGUAUACGGUAUACGCGAAGUGAGAGCGAGUGAGCAAGUGAGUGAACGUGUUUCUCGGGUGGUGAGAGUGAGCACCCGAGAGUGCCUUUUUAUAGGCCAGAGUGCUCAGCUCGUGGCCAUUAGAAUUGCUACUGUAGUGCAUGGCUACACAGGAAGACAGGACGGUGGACGGUGCCUAAUUUUCAUGCAAAGGAUGAUGUCUCAUUUGCAUGCACGUUGCAUGCAAAUGGACGGUGCCUAAUCAUCGUGUUCUUGCAUGCAGGUGCAUGCAAAUGGUCGGUGGCAUGUCCUGCAUGCAUGCAUGAGAUAUAUAUUCGUGUAGGUGCACUGCUAUGUUUUCUCGCAUGUAAGCUUGCUGGUACUUGCUAUUAUUUGUGCGCGAAAAAUAUAAAUGAUGCCUAGUUGUACGUUGCGACUUGCUAUCCUUUUGAACAGCAAAAGAGGCUCGGGAAAAGACAAGAGGUGGGGACCGCAUGCCGCGGUGCGCGCGCGAGCGAGUGCGCUCGGCGAGGGGGCCGGGCGUGAGUGCGCUGCGGCGCUGAUGGUGGUGGGGUCGGCGCACGCGCCGUUGCCGGGUAUCGGGCAGAGCGAGCGAGCAAGAGAAAUAAGUAGCGGACAUAUGAUGCUCAUGCCAUGCGGUGCAUGUUAUAUUUAAAGAUGGAUAAUUAGAAUGGAUGGAAAAAGAAUUAGAUGGAGAUACUAUAGAGCUCAAAUGAUUUAUAGUUUUUGAAAUAUAUUUUGAAAAUAAUUUUUUAAUGCGAGUGGUUUUUGAAUGUGAAUUUUUGGGAUGUUACAGACCUACCCCACUUAAAAGGAAUCUCGUCCUCGAGAUUCGGCUGGGUUCUAAACAGGUGAGGAAACUCUUUUCUCAGGGCAUCUUCUCUUUCCCAUGUUGCUUCCGCUUCAGAGUGUCUACUCCAUUGAACACGACAAAUUCGGACUGUUGUCGUUCGAGUUUGCUUGGUGACUGUAUCUAAGAUUUUUAUUGGCACUUCUUGAUAUCUUAGGUCAUCUUGUAAAUCAACUGUAUCUGGCGAUAUUUGUUCCUCUGGUACUCUGAGACAUUUCUUCAAUUGGGAGACAUGAAACACAUUGUGUAUAUCUGACAUUUCUUCAGGUAGCCGAAUACGAUAGGCUACAGCACCAAUCCUCUAUAAUACUUGAUAUGGUCCAAUAUACCGAGGUGCUAGCUUGCCUCAAACUUGGAACCUUCGAGUUCCUCGAAUAGGAGAGACUUUGACAUACACAAAAUCUCCAACUGCAAAACUUAACUCUCUCCUUCUUUUAUCAGAAUAGCUCUUUUGACGUGAUUGUGCCUCUUUCAAUUUUUCUCUGAUUUUAGCUACACGAUCUUCUGCUUCUUUUAUAAGGGCUGGUUCAAGCAAAGUUCGUUCUCCAACUUCUGACCACAUCAAUGGGGUUCGACAUUUUCUUCCAUAUAGGGCCUCAAAAGGUGACAUGCCCAAACUAGCUUGGUAACUGUUAUUAUAGGAGAACUCUGCAUAAGUUAGGCUUUUCUCCCAAUCUUUACCAUAUGUGAGCACACAUGCUCUUAGCAUAUCUUCCAUAAUCUGAUUUGUUCUUUCAGUCUGACCAUCUGUUUGAGGAUGAUAAGCUGAGCUAAAAUCUAGCUUGGUUCCCAUAGCUUCAUGCAAACUUUUCCAGAACUUAGAGGUAAAUUGGGUACCUCGGUCAGAUACAAUCCUACUUGGCACACCAUGCAAUUUGACUAUGUUAUCCACAUAUAGCUGGGCUAACUUGUCUCCACUAUAUUUGGUGCGUACAGGUAUGAAGUGAGCAACCUUUGUAAGGCGGUCCACUAUUACCCAUAUUGAAUCAUUUCCUUUCAGAGUUUUGGGUAAUCCAUUCACAAAAUCCAUGCCUAUCUCAUCCCAUUUCCAAACAGGAAUAGGCAAUGGCUGGAGCAAGCCUGCUGGUUUCUGAUGCUCUGCUUUAACCCUUUGGCAUACAUCACAUUGUGCAACAAAUCGUGCCACAUCAGCUUUCAUGCCAUUCCACCAAUAUCUUUCUUUUAGGUCCAUGUACAUCUUGGUGGCACCAGGGUGGAUAGAAUAAGCUGAGUUAUGGGCUUCAUCAAGGAUUAAUUCUUGAAACUUUCUCUCCUUGGGCACACAAAUUCUGUUUUUAUACCACAAUACUCCUUUGUUAUCCACUCUAAAGUAUGGAGCUUUAUUUUCUCCAGUUUGCUCACGAAUCUUCAUCAGAUCCUUAUCCUUAUGUUGUGUCUGCUUGAUUUCUUCCACAAGAGUUGGCUGCACCAUCAGACUGCCAUUUUGAGGUUGACGUACUAUAUGCAUGUUCAACUGUGUUAUCUCUUCUUGUAGGUGAGUGUUCUUAGGCACCAACUGCUGACCAUAUGACCUUCUGCUUAGGGCAUCUGCUACCACGUUGGCCUUUCCUGGGUGGUAAUGAAUCUCAAGGUUGUAGUCCUUGAUUAAUUCCAACCAUCUUCUUUGCCUUAGGUUCAAGUCUGACUGUGUGAAGAUGUACUUCAAACUCUUGUGAUCAGUGUAGAUUUCACACUUGUUUCCAAUGAGGUAGUGUCUCCAAAUCUUGAGAGCAUGCACUAUAGCUGCUAACUCCAAAUCAUGGGUAGGGUAAUUUUGCUCAUGAGGUCUAAGCUGACGGGAUGCAUAAGCAACCACUUUUCCUCCUUGCAUGAGAACACAUCCUAAACCUUGUCUUGAGGCAUCACAGUAUAUGAUGAAAUCUUGGUGAAUGUCUGGCAAAGUUAACACUGGUGCUGUUGUCAGUUUCUUCUUCAACUCUUGGAAACUCUUCUCACAUGAUUCUGUCCAAGUGAAUUUCUUGUCCUUCCUAAGAAGCUCUGUCAUGGGUCUGGCUAUCUUGGAAAAUCCUUCUAUAAACCUUCGAUAAUAUCCAGCUAAUCCAAGAAAACUUCUAACCUCACUCACAUUGGUGGGUUCAUGCCAAUGGGAGACAGCUUCUACUUUCUCAGGGUCAACUGCAACUCCUUCAGCUGUCAAGAUAUGGCCUAGAAAUGCAACCUUCUCAAGCCAAAAUUCACACUUGCUGAAUUUAGCAUACAACUUGUGUCUUCUUAGCUUUUCCAACACUACUCUCAAGUGUUGCCCAUGUUCCUCAGCACUCUUAGAGUUGAUAAGUAUGUCAUCAAUGAAGACUACAACAAACUUAUCUAACUCUUCCAUGAAUACCUUAUUCAUGAGGUUCAUGAAAUAGGCAGGGGCAUUGGUUAAUCCAAAGGACAUCACUGUAAACUCAUAUUGUCCAUAUCUGGUUACAAAUGCUGUCUUGGGAACAUCACUAUUCUUGAUCUUGAGCUGGUGAUAACCUGAUCUCAAAUCAAUCUUAGAGAAAUACUUGGCUCCUUUAAGCUGAUCAAAAAGGUCAUCUAUCCUUGGCAGGGGAUACUUAUUCUUGAUGGUGACUUCAUUUAGGGACCUAUAAUCCACACACAUCCUCAUACUUCCAUCUUUCUUCUUCACAAACAAGACUGGUGCUCCCCAUGGUGAAGAACUAGGUCUAAUAUAACCUUUCUGCUGCAAUUCUCUUAGCUGCUCUUUCAGUUCAGCUAACUCUGCCGGAGCCAUUCUGUAAGGUCUCUUGGCUAUGGGGGCAGUCCCAGGGAUAAGAUCAAUGAUGAACUCUAUAUCCCUAUCUGGUGGCAUUCCAGGUAGUUCCUCAGGGAAUACAUCAGGGUAUUCUUGCACUAUUGGUACUUCCUCUAUGGUCCUUGCAUCCAAGUUGAAGACCAUUGGAUUAACUUUAGACCCUCGGGUUUGGCAUUUCACUUUAAUCCCUUCAUGGUUAACUAAUGAUACUUCCUUGGUUGCACAACUAAUAAUUCCAUUGUGUCUGGUUAACCAAUCCAUUCCAAGGAUAACAUCUAUUCCUUUGGACUUGAGCACUACUAAGUCUCCUAAGAAAACUACCCCACUUAGAAUGAUCCUUACAUUUGAACAACCAAGAUGACAUUUGAUGUCAGACCCAGGUGUUCGAGUUAUUAGGGGUAACUUUAGUAGUAAUGUGGGUAUUUGAUGCUUCUCAACAAAACUUGAUGAUAUGAAUGAAUGUGAUGCUCCAGAAUCAAAUAAUACUGUUGCAAGUACUGAAUUGACUAAGAACUCACCAAGUACCACUCCUGAAGCAGUCUGAGCAUCCUGAGCAUGAAUAUGGUUGACACGGGCUCUACCAUAGGAUUGUUGAGGUUGCUUCAUCAUCUGGCUAUUAUUGUUGGUGUUGCUAUUGUUGCGAGGGAAACCACGAUUGACUCCAGACACUGCAGGUCUUGGUCCAUUAACAGUGUGGGACUGAGUGGACACUGCUGGUGGGUUGUUCUUGUAGGGACAGUUGGCAAUGUAGUGUCCAGUCUCAUGGCAAUUAAAGCAAGUCCUAACAUUGCUUGUGACUUGACCAGUGCUGUUCUGUUGAGUCUUGCCAUAAGUUUGAUUCUGAUAGGUUGUCUUGGGCUGAUAUGAUGACUGCAUUUGGUUAUUGGAGACACUAGGAGGAGAGCGAAACUGCAUUGGGGCUUGAGUCCGCUGGCUUGGUUGGCUAAAGGUUUUCAGCCUCUGGGAUCUAGCACCAUCUUGAACCUUGCGCUCUAGAAACUUGCGCUUGUUUUCUUUCCUUUCUUCAGUCUUGGCCACAUCAGUCAGAAUGGUCCUAUUCAUCAAUGUGUUGAAAUCUGGAUAGAUCUGUGGGGUCAUGAGGGUUCUGAGCUCACAGGUCAAUCCUUCUAUGAACUUUGUCUGUUUCUUGGCAUCAGUGUUGACCAAUUCUGGGGCAUAGCGAGACAAUUCAGUGAAUUGGAAGAUGUACUCACUCAGAGUUUUAUUUCCUUGCUUCAAGUUGCGAAAUUCAUCAGCUUUCAGCUUCAUGAUCCCAUCUGGAAUGUGGUACCGGCGGAAUUCAUCCACAAAUUCUUCCCAUGUGAUAGUGUUUGCAUUGUCCACAGCUCCACUAUAGGCUUCCCACCAAGAAAGGGCAAUUCCUGUCAGCUGAUGAGAUGCUAGCAGAACUCUAUCCCUUCCAUCGCAGUGGAUUGUGUCCAACUUCCUUUCAAUCACCUUAAGCCAAUCAUCUGCUUCCAUGGGGUUGUCAGAUCCAGUAAAGGUGGGUGGCUUAAGCCUCAUGAACUCAGUCAUCUUGUCUUGGACUCCGACUCCAUGGUUGUUCCUAGGGCGGUUCAUGCCUUGAGCCAAGGUCUCCAGAAGACGAGUCUGAGUUGCCAUGACUUGUGCUAAGUCAAUUACUGGAGGAGGGGGCAAGUCAUCUCCUUCAUUAUGGUUCCUAGUCUGACUCACUUCAUCUUCAUGAAUACCAUCCACAUUUGCAUUGGCUUGACUUCCAUUUGGAUUUUGGCUUUGUCUACUAGCUGCACGACCACUUGGUUGAGAGCGGAUAGCUGGUUUGGGAGGCAUCUGUUGGUUAAGAUGAGAAAGCAUUAGAUAAGGGUUAGAUCUAUUGAGUGAUGUUGUUUUUUUUUGUUAAGGCGUUAUAUUUUAAAAAGGUGCAAGUCUUAAGACUUGCUAUCCCGUAAGGGAACAACAUAGAGCACUCAAUUAUUUAGCACAACCAACAAGCACAAAUAUAUAUUUUGAAUAAGAGGGCGGUUUACAACAUAGUAAUGGAGGAAAUAAGCGUACUACAAUACGGUUCAUCUACUUUGGGGGUUGAACAAAAGUGAAGUAAACUUCACUUCCCCAAGACAUAAGGAGGAACUAGGUGUUACUAUUCUUCAACUUCUUCGGACAGAACAGCUUCAUUCCCUUGGUGUUGAGGAGGAUCAUGCUUCCGGCAUUUGUGGUUCUUCUUUUGGACUAAGAGGUGGGUCACCGUCUUCCUUUGGUGGUGGCUGGGUGAGGAGGGGAAAUCCUUCUUCCUUACUGGGCUCCAACUCUAAAGCUUCAUGAGAGGCUUCUGUGGGUGGGGGAGCUGAUGGCCCUUCUAUGUCCAUCUUGCUUUUGGUUUUUAGGGACAUGAUUGGGAUACCUUUUAGGACUAUGGGCUCUUGGUCUUCCUCUGCUAACAUCCUUCUUUUGAUCCUGGUGAUAAGGUAGGCAUCCUUCAACUCCUGAGUAUGGCGGUCUUCAGCUGCCUUCAAGACUUCGCAAUGGCAGUUUCAUGACUCUCGGCUGCAGCUGCUUGGGCCUGAGCUUGCGCAAGCUGCACAUGGAGCUUUCUAACUAUGAUCUCAGCUUCCUCCGCACGAUGGAUGCACUUCCUUGACUCUGAGGCCUGCUCAUCAUAUUGCUUAUCUAGAGCAAGAAGGUAUGUGGUCAUGAUACCACAGUUGGGUCAUCUUCAAGUGAGUAGCGUCCUUGCAAGAGCUCCAUGCGGGUCCUCCAAACUGGUCGGUCUUUUUCGUCGGGUGGAAAUAACCUCAUGGGUGUACGAGUGAUGGGUUUCUCGUAGAUCUGGCAUAGGUACCUCAAGGCUUUGCGGGCGACGGCUUGAUAUGUAUCUGCAAACCGAAAUCCGGUCGCAGUCAUGCUCCAAGCUUUAGCUAUAUUAGGGAAGUCCUCACUUUUCCCAAUAUAGACGGUAACUUCACACCGCUCAGUCUCAUGCUCUUCAUAUUCUCUGCCUUCAUAUUCUGGGCGAUCCUUGAUUCCAAGUUCUGCAUGGUAGCAUACAAGAGCUUGGGAAAGCCUUCUACACUUAGACAGUAACUGCUGGUCCAAACUCCUUCUGCCAUCUAAGAGACAUAGAUGAGAGUAAAUAUUUUUUUCAAAUAGAGGGAAGAGGGUAAGAACUUUUGUAAAAUACGUUUAUUUAGUAAAAUACUGGUCCAGAAAAGCCUAAGGUCGCGUCCUACAGCCAACUACGGCUCUGAUACCACCUGAAGCGCCCCUGGUAAACCAGGAACUCAAAUGUGAUACAAUACUAGUCCCAGGAGGCUAGUAACACAUUUAUUACAUCAGAUAAGUUUCAGCGCAGUAGUCUUGGAAAGCGUGGACAAGGAAGACACGCGAUAAUAAUAAGACACCAAAAUACAACAUAGGUCCAAAGGACCCAGAAACAAACGAUAUCGCCAUCGAACAUCUGACGAGUCCCAAUGCCACAGGCUUAGUUGGGUGCAGACACGACCUUACUCGAAUGCCACUUCGGGAUCGAAGUCCGGAUCUUCCUCUGUUUAAUAAAGCAAGGGUGAGUACAAAGUACUCAGCAAAUCCAACCUUACCCUACGGAAGGGGAUAACAAUAUAUAUGCAUAUGGAUAAAUCAAGGAUGAGGCUUAGUUUUAUUUGCAUAAAGCCAUCUUUUUACACAUGCAAGGUUUCAUUUCACAAAUACUGUUGUAAAAGACCUCUUUUUCCACAUAUGAUAGUAUUUCUGAAAAUAGGGGUUUGAUCACAAUUUUAAGUGUUGUUGAACCCUUGUUCCCACAACACAAUGGCAGUCAACCAUUUAUUUCCAAAAUCACACUCACUCUCAUGUUUUCACUCAUCCCAACACAUCCAGUUGUUGAAACCAAACCAUAACCCGUCCGAGACCGCGGACACGGCUAUCCAGAUAGAUUUACACUCUGCAGAGGUUGUACACUAUUCCCACAAGUAGGAUACCAUAACUUACACCGUCGUGCAAGCACAGAUCCAUCAAAGUCAUUACCCUCCAUAGCUAAGUAAUGGCGCUCACCACGGGAACACUAAGGCCACAUCUCAUGAUACCAUAAUAAUUCACAAAGCUCUUUUCAUAUAUUUCCACAAUUUCACAUACAUCACUUAAUGUCCCGUUGCACACCUGCCUCCAGAUGAUUGCCAUACUAACUAGAGGGAUUUAGACUAAGCCUUUCCCAUGCAAGGCGAGUGGUUGUACGAUAAAUGAGUUAGGCAAGAUGAAUCAUCAACUCAGUCCUUAAUCGAGACAAGACGGAUAUCUUCACGCUUAACCCCGCAAGGUAUAAGCCACAACACCAGGGAAUCCCCAAAAGAGAUCCCAUCCGCCCCAUCUCCAUAGUAAUCACAUCUAUAACUUGUUCAUUAACCCUUUCAUAAUACCCACAAUUUAUUCUCACCACUCAUACCUUUUACUUUUAAAAUCAUUAUAUUUGAAAAAUAUAGCGAUGAGUAUCCAGGAUGAGUAACAAGUCCUAAGCAUACUAAAUAAUAAUAUUUCUGUCAUAGCAUAUUAUUUGUUCCUAGGUUUGAACAAGACAAUUACCGGGUAAUAUCAAUUCAAGGAUGGCUAUUCAACAGGUUUUAACUAAGCAACGAAAAUACUUCGUACAUAUAUUGUACAUGCAAUAUUUAAAACGGCUUCUACGGGUUGUGUUUAAAAAUAGGAUCAAUAUGCAUCAAAGGGAAUCAGUUGGACUUGCCUCCGUCGGCGUCCUCGGCAAACUCCUGCUGACAGUCCGGGUCCUCGGCGUCAAACUCGCGGUACUCGUCUCCAACGUUCUCGUUUUCCGGCUCGUUCACUCCGUCAACUAAAAUACGCGACGAACGACACAGACAAUAGACACAGAUAAAUAAUCAUAUAAAUUCAAAUGAGCUCUGAAAAUUAUGAAAUUAGAUCAUGAUUUUAGAUGAAUUUAGGAAAAAGAAUUAUUAAAAUCAGAGUUAGCAUGUGGCAUUGUGAAAUGGCCGGAAUUUAAUCAUGCGAAAAAGGCUAACGAUAAUUAAGGAAUUGAUGCUUCACGUGGGCAUUUGUUUGGCUGGUAGUGCAUGUUGCAUGCAUGCAUGUACUAUUUGGAGUUAAUGCUUGGCCCACACAUGCAUGGUUAGAGAGAAAUUAGCAGGGGUCAUUAGAACUCUUCUGUAUGUCAUGGUUCUAUUCGUGGAGUUCUUGGCAGUGAACCGAUACAGACAAAUACAUGGAAAAAUAUAGAAAAAAUACUACAGAAAGACAGAGAAGAGCAAGGAGAUGCUCAUGAGCUGCUCACCUCGUCUUGCGACGACAGUCGAGCUCGGCUUGUGCGUAUGGCCGUAUACGGUAUACGCGAAGUGAGAGCGAGUGAGCAAGUGAGUGAACGUGUUUCUCGGGUGGUGAGAGUGAGCACCCGAGAGUGCCUUUUUAUAGGCCAGAGUGCUCAGCUCGUGGCCAUUAGAAUUGCUACUGUAGUGCAUGGCUACACAGGAAGACAGGACGGUGGACGGUGCCUAAUUUUCAUGCAAAGGACGAUGUCUCAUUUGCAUGCACGUUGCAUGCAAAUGGACGGUGCCUAAUCACCGUGUCCUUGCAUGCAGGUGCAUGCAAAUGGUCGGUGGCAUGUCCUGCAUGCAUGCAUGAGAUAUAUAUUCGUGUAGGUGCACUGUUAUGUUUUCUCGCAUAUAAGCUUGCUGGUACUUGCUAUUAUUUGUGCGCGAAAAAUAUAAAUGAUGCCUAGUUGUACGUUGCGACUUGCUAUCUUUUUGUACAGCAAAAGAGGCGCGGGAAAAGACAAGAGGUGGGGCCCGCAUGUCGCGGUGCGCACGCGAGCGAGUGCGCUCGGCGAGGGGGCCGGGCGUGAGUGCGCUGCGGCGCUGAUGGUGGUGGGGUCGGCGCACGCGCCGUUGCCGGGUAUCGGGCAGAGCGAGCGAGCAAGAGAAAUAAGUAGCGGACAUAUGAUGCUCAUGCCAUGCGGUGCAUGUUAUAUUUAAAGAUGGAUAAUUAGAAUGGAUGGAAAAAGAAUUAGAUGGAGAUACUAUAGAGCUCAAAUGAUUUAUAGUUUUUGAAAUAUAUUUUGAAAAUAAUUUUUUAAUGCGAGUGGUUUUUGAAUGUGAAUUUUUGGGAUGUUACAGCAGAGGUUGUAGAUCUUUAUCCAUAAGUCAUGAUUUACACUUUUGCCUGAGGUUGCAAGUCUCUUAACCCGUCGGUAGGGAUCACUAUGAAGCCUUUCAAAAGUUUGUCUAACAUGUUAGGGCCGCAAGGUUUCCAAUUGGCACACAUAUGUAGAGCCCCCUUCUAAACGGCACAAUGACACACAACCUAUACACAUAAGGACAGAGGCCACACUAUACCCAAAAUGUCAAGCCCCUCUAGCACCCUUACGGGUAACCUCUAACAAGAUAGAAAAGAUAUUCAUACUGAGUUAAAGCCACAGCCAUAAUAGCCCUCAUGGUUGUACUGUCAAUCCUGGGUGAUCACGUACAGACAAGAUCUCAUAUAGUCAUAAGUCAUCUUUUAACAUUCAUUGCAUAGUCAUUAAUCAUCUUACAAGAUCAUGGAUUAAAAUGAAGCACUAGCAAGAACUACCAAAAUACAUAUCCAAAUAGGUAUCAAGAAAUUCAGGAUAACAAGCAUCUAUGAUUUUGCUAAGGUUGUCAAGGUGGACACAUGCAUAUGAAAUAUGUAUUAAAAGUGUAUAGGUAACAAGGAUAGUCCCAAGUUAUACUUGUCUUGAUCAAAGCUUUCCUACGGUUCCUGCUAGUCGUCAAAAGAUUGGCCUUGUUCACCAAUGUACGGCUCAUCGUCUAUACUCGAUCAUCAAUCAACAACACACAAUCAAUUGGAGACAAUCAUACACAAAGCAAACAAGCUAUAAUUAGAACAGUACACCAAUAGUAGCAAAACAAAUAUAAAAAAUUAUAAAAACAUUCUACAUACCACUGUGAUCACACAUAUGUAAAGAUCACAAAAAUCUGAAUUAAAACGGAGAAGAUAUGGAUUUUCGAAGAUUUCCUAUAUAAGAAUAAUUAAUUAAAUAGUACCACUAAAUUAAAAAGUUACAAAUUGAUGAAAUAGUGAUACUAACAUGUAGAUCUCGAGAAGACGAAUCUAAUGCAAUUCGAAUAGGUCAAAUCGGAGUUUAAAUGAACAUUUUAUAAGUAGAAUAAAAUCAGUGGCAAAUCUAUAAAUAACAGAAAAUGUAUUUUCUUUUAAACCGAUGAAAAUACAUUUUUAAGGUUGAGAAAACAUAUUUGGCGGAAUACGCGAUGGACUGCGGGUUGAAUCCUAGAAAAUUCUAGGGACUCUUUAGCAAAAUAGCCGGCCAAAGGGGUAUCACCCAUCCUAGACCGUUAGAUUAGAAACAAACGGUCGAGAUCGCGCCUAGGGAAGAAACGGCCGGCCGGCCGCCGGAACAGCACCUCCACAGCGGCGCCAUUGGAAAACCCCACCAGAGCUCUUCACUCUGAUGUUUCCGAGUGCAAAAACAUGAAAGAAAAACACCAGGGAGUAGAGAAGCUCACCACAAAUCUAUCUAGGAGCUUUACUCGAACCGAGAGGAAGCAAGGAUGGAUCAUGGUGGCGGCGGCUUGGGCACAAGCUCGGCGAGAUCCAAACCUCCUGAAACAAGGGCUAGGGUGGCUUCUGAGGUGUAGUAGAUGAAAAAGAGGGUGGCGGGGAAGUCUGGGUACUUUAAGGUGCUCAGUUGCAACUAUAACGUGAAAUCCCGGAGGAUUCGGUAUUGCCAUAUCCGGCUCCUGCUUGAUCCCGUGACGGAGAAGAAAGGGGUCGGCUGACGAGUGGGGCCCUGCUGUCGGUGGGAGAAAAGGAGGGGAGAGGGAGCGCACGCUGCUUGGGCUGUCUGGGCUGCUGCUGGCUGGCUGGGCCAAAACACAGGUAAGCUUUCUCCCUUUUUUAUUCCUUUCUUUUUUUCUCUUUUAUUUUCCAAAUCAUUUCAAAAGAGAGUUUGAAUUCAAAUCAAAUCAAACCAAGAGCAUCAGCACAAAAUUAAAUAAUGACCAUCAUGGAUGCACAAACAUGUUUCUAUCCCAAUGAUGAAAUUUAAUUUCAACAAAAUUAAUUUGUUUACUAAAUUACAUGCUCACAAAAACAUUUUAAUAAACCACGUAAUCCAAUUUAAUUGAGAAACAAAUUUGGGGUGUUACAACAAAGCUAAUCCAACUAUACUAAACAUAUAAUCAUAGUAGGCAAUGAACAUUACAAUUAUGAAUAUAUAAUUAUACCAAGUCAUAUCAAGUAUUCGACUCAAACACAAACUAGAAUAAGAACAAGAGGGAAACAUGAACUAGACAAGAGCACGAUGAACUAGACAAACUAGAACAAGAACAAGAUUAAUAGGGUACCGAUAUGAUCGGUACGAGGGUGGCCCGAUCUUCACGACAGUAGAUCAAAAGAACAAGGAUAACUUGCUGCGAACAGCGGAUAACUAGCUUUAUACCUGAUAAAGGUUGGAUGCGACCAAGCGACGGGGAGAGAGAGGCACCGAAACCACGAAGACUUCGACUCGAUCUCCGAACGACCGCAGAACCACAAUCCGAAACUAAUCCACACAAUACGGCGCAGCCGAACGGAAAUCGUAGAACACGAAGUAGGGGAACCCAGAGCAUUCACUUCACAAGUCCAAGAAGAACAAGGAAGAACAAAGGUUGAGUAAGCACUCAGCAGCGCGGCUGCAAUAUCAUGUAGUUUAUCAAAUGAUCAAAGGUUGUUGAUAGCUUAGAGGUAGGGGAUAUUUAUACUAGGAACAACCCUCCUAGAUAGGUAUGAAAACGAAAUAGAGUUUCUGAGAGAAGGCAUUGUGAAAGGACCCCUCGGAAUGGAUUUCCGAACUGGCUUCGCGUGACUAUUGGCCUCCAGAGCAGUUUCCAAUAAACUGACCUUAACUUUUUAUUGGGAAGUCCAAAUGACGAACUGUUUCUUGGGUGUGAAACUAGACUCCAUGAGCUUUCGAGCAAUGUAUGCCAUGCACCACGAAACGUUGUAGAUUGGUACAGUUUUGCACGGCAAGUUGUACCAAUAUUCUAUCACGACAGACUGUUGACCUUCUGAGCAGUCUUUACUAUUCCAAUCAUAACUCUUGAUUGCAACGUGCAAAUGAGAUGAGACUUGAGGCAUUGGAAAGAAGACUCGACAAGCUUUCCAACAAGUCCUCAUGGGCCUUCAUAGCUUUUGUGAGUAAAAGGUUAUGAAGAUUUCUUUGCACUUGUCCGUUCUUGACUUCCACUAGUCCGUUUUUGACUCUCUAGUCCGUUUUGUAGUGUCUUGUGGGACUUGCACUGGUCUGAUAUUCAAGGUCUGAUUCAUCCUUCUCUUCUUCUAUAUACCUGAGUACAAUCAAGGUAGAACACUUAGGUAGUAUAUAAUUCUCAUUAAUGUUAAAAUGAAUCUCAUAAAGUAGCGCGUGGACCUCUUGUUGUAGCUUCUUUGCACGACUACGUGUAACCGGUCCAUCGAUGACUUGGGCUGGUGUCGGUGUAGGUAAAACUUGAGUGGUUCUAGCUUGACUUAGAGCUUGUGACAUCUUGCUUACUGGCAUGGUCAUAUCAUCCUCUCUCUCUUAAAAAAGGAGUCGUCCUCGACUCUAACUCUUCUGAUCCAAAGAGUUGUGCUAGGCCAUCGGUUUGUAAUGUUGUGAUAAUAUUGCAAUCUUCUUGUUUCAUGAUAGCAAGGUGUUUGAAUCUAUAAUCAUAUAAACCAAGUAGUAGCCUUGUAUGUGGAAACCUAAAUGUUUUGGAAUUAAGUUUAGCUUUCACCUUGAGUGGCUGCUUGAAUGUUGAUUGCCUUAGUAUGGUCUCAUCAAAGAUGAACUAGAUGAUCUAAUUGAUGAACUAGAAGAACAAAAGAUGAACUAGAAGAUAAACACAAUGAACUAGAAGACAAAUAACUCAAAUAGAUUAACAAUGUUAUUACAAGAGAGAAGUACAAGGGUUUACCUAGUCUCCUUGUGACUAGAUCUGAAUCCAAGCAUUGCUUGACUCCUCUAAUUCCUAUUCUUAUCUAGCUAUGCCCUAUUUGGUGGAGCUCUAAACUAGACUAUGAGAUAUAACUAUGAUGGAUUGAUUGAUCGAUGCCUCAGGGAUAGUCCAGUGGGAUGAACCGCAGCCCUUGGAUCAAACCAAUAUAGAACAAGGGUCAAGAUACAUCAUAGAGGUUGGUUGGAGGCCGUGACAUGAAGGAGGGGAGACUUUUAGGUGGGCCCAGGCUGGUCAGCCUAGCAUGUGGGGCCAGUCGGCCCCACCUGGUUGCCGCUGGUCUCUUGCUUCGUCCCUGUGUCUUCUGGUGUCUUCUACGUCCUUCUAGCGCCUCUUUUCGAUCAAUUUGCGUAAUGAGUCAUGUUGUGGAUGGAUUAUUUCCUUUCCCAGCUUCUGGAUAAAUCCCUAAAAAAGAUUAUUUCACAAAGUUGUGGAAUCUUGUCGGUUUAGUCCCUGGUCUUAUAAUGGAUGAUGGUUCUAGGGUCUUCUAGAGACUUGCAGGUCAUAUCCAUCGAGGACUUUCUCUCCGAUGCUCCAAAUAUGGCAAAUGAUAUGUCUGUCUUGAUCAUCUCAACAAGCUCUCCACAAUGGUGUACUUAGAUUCUUCACUUGAGAUACUUUUAUAUGAUGAAAUAUUGAAUAUCCUGCAAGGCAAGUGAGAACAAUACAACUCGUGGAACUCAUUAGAAUAAACCCCUAUAACCGUAAUUUAUAAGUCAUUUUAGAUCUCUCCUUUGGUUAGUUGAUGGUUGAAAAUUGGAGUUAAUUACCAUCAACAAACUCUUCCAAGCUUAUCGUUUUCUAGUCCCUUAGCAAAUAAUAGUUCUUGACUAAACAAGAUGGAUCAGGAGUUGCUAUAAUGCUUUCACACCUCAAAAGUACACCAAUGUUCAAAUAAGAAUUCUCUUCUACGAUAGAACAAAUUAUUUUAACUUCCAACUUACUCAAAUUACCUUCAAUCGUGGGGCUUAUAACUUUCACUUAGGUCUUUAGUAAUUGAAAAGCAGAAUGAUUAAGUCAAGCACUAUGUCUCUAGCUCUUUGAUCUACCUUUAUUCUAGUGUUUUGCAAGUUUCCAAAAUAAAACUCAAAGAUUCCUUUGUAUGAUCCUUUCAAGUCUCUCAUUAUGUAGUAUUUGUGGAUUCCUCUCCAAGAUAGAUUAGCAUCAUACCUUCCCUUUUCACUCCCUAUAACUAAGGCUUAUGUGGAGCUGAAUGUAUUUCAAGGAUAUAGCAAACUUAGCUUGCAUAUAUUCCCCAAUCAAACUAGGAUCAUCGGAGGGGAAACCAUACUCUUAGAUCAUUAUGUGCAUGUGUGUGAACCUAUAGAUAUGUGGUGGUGGAACAAUGAUACAAAGGGUGUAACAUAGUGAGGGUGAAAACAAUUGUUAGAGAACAUGAUGGAAACCUUAUCUUUCUUUGGUUGCUCCUUAAGGGGAUACUUCUCUCUUUUAAAAACUUUGAAAACUUUGAAGAAUACUUGGACUAGAUACUCUUUUUUUAUUUCCUUUUUUCUUUUUCUUUUUUUAGAAAUAGCCUUCCAAGCUUCUUUUGAUGAUGAAUGUCAAGAGAUAAUAAGAAGAACUAUUGGAGCAGUUUACAGAUUGGCGAUGAAAACAAUGAUAAGGUUUGAUGAAAAUAUAAAGAAGAAAAUAUUUUUGGUUGUUCAUUCGCAGGGUAGGAAUAGAACAUUUUUGGUGGACUAAAUGAAAAACAUGUUGUUGCGUACUUCCAGGAUAGAAGUAGCAUAUUUGGGUGGAGUGUACGUGAUAUUGAUCUUGGGAGUAUGAUAAACCUCUUGACAAGGGUCUUUCACGGGUUGAUCAAACUCAAUACAAAAUAAGUAGCCUAUGAGCUAGUUUUCCUAGUCUAGCAAACAUAUAUAUGGCUAUGGUAAGAAUUCAACACUCAUCAUACAGAAACUCAUCAUGUGGUAAUUUUAGGUUUUUCAAAAGAUAAAUCUCCAGAACUCUAGUAUCACUAGGAACAAGAUAGUAGCUCAAAACCUUUUCAUAUCAUACUCAUCAAUCACCUAGACUUAGACCAAGCUUUUGCAUCCCACAGGUUUCAAGUUUAGGGUAAAUCAUUAUGUCAAAACAAUAUAAUCCUAAAACUUUGAGAGAAUCUAAGGUUGAACACUAGGCACUUGAAAGGGAUUACGGCAGAGCAACUAUAAAUCAUUUCCAUGUAAACAAUUAUCUAGAGCUCAAUUAUUCUAGGGUAGGUAAAGAAAAACUUGUACCCUCUCUUUUUAUUACCUAAUUAUUUAAUAGCUAAUAGACAUAGUAGACUCUCUUUAUUUUGUUUUCUAAGUUAUUUAUCUUUCAGCUAUAAAGCACACAUAAGGAAAUAGAUACUUAGCUAGAUAUAUGGGAGAUCUUCCUCCUCCAAGCUGGAUGUUGAUGUAGUCAUUUAUCUUGAAUCUUGAUAGCAUAGAUGUUCCCCAUCCCUCUGGGUCUCUAAAAGUGGAUGGUUGAUGAAGUUGUCCUUCCUAGAGCAGAUGCAAACUUCUAGCUAGUCUUUCUUCUUGUUGAAUCCUGUCUAAACCAAAUAAACAACAAAGCUCGUGGAACAGAUUAAGCAUUAGGAGUAAAACCAUUAUGAUCCAUCUAUGUUAACAACUUAUAGAUUUUUCAAAGCAUUCUCAACAAGACCUCAAUAUUUUUGGAUUUUCUAUUUUGUAUGCAAAUGCAAAAAUAUUUUUGCGCCUCCAUAGCAAGUAGCCAAUAUUUACUUGCCUGGGGCUUAAGUUUUUUAGAUGCAAUGCUAUGAUGCAACAAAAUAAAUUUAAUUUUUUGUUUAAUGUAAUGGGUAAAUAUGCUAAAUGCUUAUGAGUGAAUGUAGGAAAAGUAAAUAUGCUAAAGUAAAAAUUAUGGAGGGAAAUAAAUAUGAGGAUAACUACCGAUAUAACCUUUUGGCGAGGGUUCGUAGAUUUAGGUCCGUUGAACCGGACCUUUUGGCUCAAUCAAGUAAUGAGGGGGUAUGUGAGGAGGUAGAGACCUCCCCCCUUAUUUCUCCACUUCCAUAUGUUCUUGAGUAUCUGGUGAGUCAGGAGAUAGCGAUUGCUCUUCUUGUAAUGGAGUGCUUGGUGGUGUUAUCUCUUUCUUUCUCCACACUUUCUUGGUCUUUGGUUUCUCUUCCUGUGGUUUCUCAUCUAGAAACUCCUCUUCUUCUUUAGCCUCUAGGGCAGCUUCUCCUUUAACAACUUCCUUUUUUCUAAUCAGCCCCUUCCUUGUUGAUGGCUUGUUGUUCUUGACAUGGAGAAUGGCGUCUCCUGUUCCUGUUCUUCUUGGGCUUCUCAUAAGUAGUAUAACUAUUAAAGUAAUAGCGUACCUUUUCUCCUGGAUAGUGAAAAUGGAUUUCCCCUUGCUUUACAUAGAUGAUCAUGUUGGUGCUGUGAAGGAACGGUCUUCCUAGGAUAAGGUGGAUGCCAUCUUCUUCACCCAUGUCUAGAACCAUGAAGUCAGUGGGGACCUUAUGAUCCCUGAUCUUGAUUGCGACAUAUUCAUAUUCCCUCGAAAGAUCGAAAUGAUUGGUCUGCUAUCUACAGCUGUAAAUAUGUUGGGCACAAGGGUCUAUCACGAUAUAAAUGUCUAUAUAUUACUGUAGACAUGAUGCUGAUGCUUGAGACGAUGUCAUAGAAUGUCUUAUAGAAGGUGCUCCCUUCGAUCAUGCAAUUAAUGGUACAUACUCUAGGAUCGUCCUUCUCAAGGUGUGAUGGAGGAAAAGCAGGGUCAGUGGGUGGUUCAAUUGCAUUGAGCAUCCAAAUGGGCUCUUGAUUAGGUGUCUUUCCUUUUCUCUUCCCCUUCUUGUUGUUGUUCUUAUUUGGAGUAGGUAGGACGCCUUCAUAUGUGUAAACAUUCUUCUUGACUAGAGUCUUCUUUUCUUGUGGCUUCUUCUCUAGAACCUUCUUCUCUAGAAGCUUGUCCUCUGGAAUCCUCCACUCUGGAAUCUUGUUCAACUUUUUUGGGAUCUUGUCAUAGCCCAAGUAAUCGUACGAGCAUUGAGGAUGAACUCGAUUUGUGAGUGUACGAUGUUUGAAACUGAGUCUCUCUUUAGUAUUCCCAAUGGUGAAACAGAUCUUGGCGGUGUCUACAUAGAUGAUGGUUUUAGUUGUGCUAAGAAAUGGUCAUCCCAAAAUGAUGGGUGCUCUUUCAUCUCCUCCUGUUUCUAUCACCACAAAGUCUACUCGAAGAGCCGAGCGUCCAACUCCUAUGAGAACAUUAUCUAGGAUUCCCUAGGGUAGCACAAUGUCUGAUCUACAAGCUACAAACACAUGGUUGUGUACAAUAAAAUUUCACCUUGAAUUUUCUCAUAAAUUACCUUUGGCAUAAUAUUAUUAACACUUGCUCCCAAAUUUCAGAUGGCUUUGUCAAAGGUGUGAGCUCCGAUGAAGAUGGGGAUAACAGGUCUUCCUAUAUCUCCUUUCUUUUCCGACAUGUCCUCUUCUCCCCACACUAGUCUUAGUGGUCUAGGUGGUGCGACAAAGUAUUCUCCUGCAUUAAAGAUAUCUACAAGAUUCGCAAUUUCUAAUUCACCUUGAUUCCCUAGAAUCUUACCUUUUUCGGCCAUGGGUAUUGAAGCUGCAAGCUGAGAGAUUUGAGAUUCUAUCAUCUUAUUAAAGCUAAGUUGAUUCUUUAUGGUAGAAGUAAAUCUAUCCAUCCUAUUAUUUAUGGAUUCAAAAAUUUUAUCAUUAGAAGCUAUCUUUCUAGAUAUACUAUCGAUAACUUUAUUUUGAUUAACAAUCAUCUCUCUCAAAGGUGGUUGGUUGAAAUUAUUACCUUGAUAUUUACCUGAGUAAUUACCUAAGUAGUUUGAUAUUUGUUGUUGAUUCCACCCUUGAUUCUGUUGGUUCCAUCCUUGAUUCUAUUGAGGACGAUAAUUGGAUUGUUGUUGAUGUAGUUGACAUAACACGUAGGAAUAUUCACCGUGGUGGCAUAAAGUAAAGAUAAAUAUGCAUUCGUCUUCUUACAUUUUAUUUCCAUCAUAGAAAAUAAAAAAGACAAAAAUAUUGAGAAAGAGAUCCUUCUAAAACUCUGCUUAGAAAAAAAUCAUAAACAAUCUCAAAAACUCUGCACAACUGAGGCUUAAGUGGUCAACUACUAACGCUUAAUUCGUUCCAAAGUUUUGUUGUUUGUUUGAGUUCCGUAUGAUUUGAGGAACCAAGAAGAGCUAACAAGCAUGUGGAUAUCCACUGCUAGAGUACUGUCUCAACAGUCAACAACAUCAAUCUAUGCUCUAGUAGAGGAAGUACAUCUCCACUGCAAGUCUGCUGCAUCCCAAGAUCAAAAGAUUACGUCAACAUCUAGCUUGGGAGAGAGGUACCCCUAUGGGUUAAGUUUUGGGGAGUUUGUUAACGGUGUUUAGCAUCAACCAUUUAUAGCUAAAUAAACAUGCAUAGAGGCACAAUUGAGAUCACCAACAAAGGUUUAGGAUUUAAACUAAUAAAUUCCAUGAGUUUUGUUGAAUCUGUGAUUUAUCUAGAAAACCGCCAAGAGGGAUCUAUUCGUCAAAACAAACGAUGAAAUUCACUAAGAAAAUUUUGUGGCAAGACUCUAGAAGGCACAAGAAGGUGAACCACCAAAGAUGGGCCCAAAAGGCAUCGAUGGAGGGUUGGCCGGCCCUACUCCAAUGCCAACCGACCUACCACGGAGCCUAGUCACCUCUAGCUUCUGGAAUCUUCCUCCACUGCCUCCUAGGAUGCAUUUCCACCGUACCUCAAAGUCAGUUUGAUCUAAGGGCUCACGUUCAUCCCACCGGGCUAUAUAAGGAGACGCCUGCCUCUCUCCCUGGAGGCAUCCCUAAAACCCUAGCUCGUAUCUCUUAUUCAGAGAUUAGGGUACACAAGGAGGAUUCGGGCUAGACUCUCCAAUUUAGUUGAGAGUUAGGGAGAGUCGAGCUAUGCUAAGGUUCUGGAGAAAUCUUCACAGGUCACGUAUAUCUUUGUAUACUAUCUUUAUAAGACUUAUGCUUUAAUAUAUUUAUCUUCUCUAUUUACUUUUAUGCCUUUCAUGUGAUUGGUUAGUAUAGUUGUUAUAUCUUUACAUGGGAUCUCCACUCGCAUUGAGUUCUCUAGUUAUUAUAUGUGAUUAGAGUAGUAAUUAAUAGUGUACACAUCGUGUCUAGAUUAUUAGUUACUUGAGAUUGUACCCAACCCUAUGGAUAGUUGUGGUAGCCCCAAGUGGUGAUAGCCUUGACGGCCGACGUAGUCCAUCACGUUUAGGGUGGUGAUUGUAGGACCGUAGUUAGAAUUUCCUAGCCCAUUCCUCAUCCCUUUCCAUGACUCAUGUUCUAAUGUCCCAAAGUGUCAUUGUGUGAUUGCAAUAUGUAUCUAUACUUUAGUUAUCAUAGAACUAAAGUAAUAGAGAAGUAUAUAGAAACCUUAAACUUUCCUGUUGUUCUCUCAAUUUAGCUAAAUUACUCUUUUAUCAUGGAAUUCUCCUAUUUGUGUGUCUAUCAUUAUGCACAACUCUUAUCAUUUAUCACUUACCUCUACUUUAGUCUAGUUAGUAUAUUAUGUUAGUAGAUACAUGAUGGUGAAUUAUCAACCUCUUUAACCAUUGCUUCCUUGUGGAUAAACAUGACAGUCUAGAAUACUCUCGGGUAAAAGCUAUAAUGGUAUCCAUGCGCUUGCCAAAUUCUAUGUGUGUAUUUGUAAAUACCAAUAGUAUCCCAAGCCUAGUUGCAUAUAGUGUAUUGCUGCCCAUAAACAACAAAAAUGAGUAUAAAUGAAUCAUGGGUGAGAAGGUGUGAAUUAUCUUGGUUGCUCCUAGAGAACGUUGGCGGCAAGCUGUGGCUCAAGAUGGCAGGCGACAAACUUGGUCGUCAGAGCUUGUAAACUCCCAAGUUACCCAGUUCUAAACUAUAUAUCUGGUAGUAAUCGUAGUAGUAUCCUAAUAGAUUUUGGCAUGUCAGGACUCAACCAGUCAUAAGAAAAAAUCUGUAGGGAGCAUUGUUGACGGUCCUUAAGUACCAAAUAUAAUCAUCAAAUAAAUAAAGAAAAGGAUCCAAAUGCAACCAACACCCAGACAUAGGGUUUUAUCUGACACAAUUCCACGAGUUUUGGUGUUUGUCUAUUUCUGUAGGGGGUUAUCAGGAAAUAUAGAGGAAAGGCCCACAUAUCGGGUUUACAUAGAGAUAUUAAUGUGCCGCGCAAUUUUCUAUCAUCUAGAAGAGUCCAGAAGCCAUGGGAACGAACGGGAGGCCGAGCGGACCCGGGAGCAGGGCACCUGCCCUCCCCCCUAGGGCGCCCGCCCUACUACAGGGACCAAUCAGGUCCCGCCUCGCAGAUUAUGCUCCACCGACCUAAAGGAUUAAGGAAAACCGUGCGAUUAAGGUUGGUUUCAUCCGACGGCCCAGAUUCAUUUGGAGGGGCUAUAUAAGCAGGCCCCCUGGCCCCUAGAGGACGGCAAUCCCAUUAUUCAUUAGCAUAUUUUCCAAAGAGGAUUCAGAGAGAGAGGUCCCUCUAGGGUUCCAACCUCAUAGGGCUUAGCAUCCAAUGUGAGAUUAGAAUUAGUUCUUCUAGAUUGAGAGAGAUAGAGUGGAGGUGUGGAUCGCAGGAAGCCCGGCCUGUCGGUGUCUACUCCGAGGUUGUACCUACGGGAUCAAGUCUCCUAACCCGAGGCUUGCUCCUAAGAUUCUUCAGUUUUUCGACUUCUAAAUUCUAGUAAGUUCUUUGUUCUUAUUGUUCUUUAGUUUAUGAGUUUACUUCAAUCUCUUUCGGUUGAGUUUAGAGUAAUCAUUGCUAGUGUAAACGUGGUGUUUGGGCUAGGGUACUCAUAGAUAUCCCCUGUCUAGCCGGACCGUGGUAGUAGCGAGGAACGUGACAUUUUCGUAGCUACCUUUGUAGCCCACAAUCCCGUUAGCAGGAUCGGUAGGGUCUAUAGGUGCGGGUCGAACAUCCUUUGUGGUGUCUAGAUUCCGUAAGCCUCCCUAAUAGAAUAGUAGAUCAUCCUUACCAAGGUUAAAACGAGAGUGCGGUUGUAGUCUUCUUGUAACACCCAAAAUUUGAAUUUCAAUUAAUAGGAUUUAAUUUGAUUUAUUUAAGUAUUUUUAUGAGCAUUUAAUUCAGAGAAUAAAUAAUUUUUGUUAAAAUUAAAAUUCAUUAUAAGUGAGUAAACUUGAUUGUGCAUUCAUGCUGAGGUAUAUUUUUUGUUGUGCUAAUUUCUUUUGGUUGGAUUUUGGUUGCUCUCAAAACCCUAUUUAAAAAGGCUUUAGAAAACAGAAAAGAAGAAUAAAAAUAAAAAAACAAAGGAGAAAACCCCAGCCGGCCCAAAACCCCUCCCUUUUCUUUUUCCCCGGUGCGCGGCCCAGGCUGAGGCCUAGCCGCCCCGAAGCCCAGCUCCUUCCUCUCCCGGCCCAGCGCGCACAACGCAGUAGCCAGGCCCGCAGCGCUCCCCUGCCCUCCUUCUCCAGCCGACAGCUGGGUCCCGCCUUUUUCCCCCACCGACAGCUCGGGCCCACGAGUCAGCUCUCCCCAUCUCGCUUCCUUCUUCUCUGCGCGCCGUGGCCGCGCCGGACUCGGUGGUUUUUCCCUGCGUAGAAGGAAACAACCCCGUUUCUUCCGGGAUUUCGUGGAUUGAGCGCCCCUAUAAAGUCCCAAACUCGCCCCGCGGUCACGUUUCCUCAACCGAGCACUUUUUCUAAGCCCUAGCCGCAACCGCCGCGAGAUUUGGAUCUCACCGGAGAAAACUACCGCCGCCGCGCGUAGCCUCCUCCCCUCGGGCCUUCUCCGGCCCUAAAAACGCCCUAGGUGAGUUCGCGAGCUUCUUCUCCAUCUCCCGGUGUCCUCGACUUGAGUUUUGGUGCACGGAAUCGAGAAGUCGUAGAGCUCCGGCGAGCUUCCUGCGGCCGGCAAUGGCGCCGCCGUGCCGGAGCCCCACCCCGACGGCUAGCACGCCGCCUACUCCUCGCUGGGUUGAGCAGGGCCGUCGGAUCGAAGAUCGGUGGCUGAUAAUAGAAGAUACCGGUUCGCUGCAAUUUUUGUUUAAGAGCCCCUGGAAAGUUUUACAUUUUAACCCGCAGUCCAAGCGCCUUUCGGGAAAUACGUUUUCUUGAUUGGAUUACGUAUUUCCGAUCGGUUUAGUUCAAAGUAUGCUUUCCAGAAUUUACAGAAAUGCCAUUGAAACUGUUUUGGUUAUAAAAUGCUCAUUUUAAGUCCGAUUUGACCCAUUCAAAUUGCGUUAGCUUCGUAUUUACAUGCUCUACAUGUUAGAAAUAUUAGUUUACUGUUUUGAAACUUUUUAAUUCUGCAGUAGCAUUUAAUUAAUUAUUUCUCUAUAGGAAAUCUUGGAAAAUUCAUAUCUUCUACGUUUUAAUUCCGAUUUUCGUGAACUUUACGUUUGUGUGAUCGUAGCGCUGCGUAGAAUAUUUUCAUAAACUUUUAUCUUUGAUUUCUCACUGUUUGGUGUAAUGUUCUAAUUAUAGCUUGUUUGCUUCGUGUAUGAUUGUCUACAUUGGAAUGCGUGUUGUUGAUUGAUGUUUCGGAAUAGACGGUGAGCCGUACGUCGGUGAUCAAGGUCAAUCUUUUGAAGACCAGCAGGCUCAGGAGAGCUUUGAGCAAGGCAAGUAUAACUUGGGAUCAUCCUUGUUACCUAUUCACUUAAGUACACAUAUAUAUCAUAUGCAUGCUAUCACCUUGUCGACCUUAGCAAAAUCAUAGAUGAUUGUUACCUGGAUUCCUUGCUACCUACUUGAUAUGCAUUUGUUGUAGAUGUGCUAGUGCUUGAUAUAAUCCAUGAUCUUGUAAGAUGAUUAAUAGCUAUGCAAUGAACAUAAAAUAAUGACAAAUAACUGUAUGAGAUCUUGUCUGUAAGUGAUCACCGGGACAACAGUGCAACCAUGAGGGCUAUAAUGGCUCUGGCUUUAGCUCAGUAUGAAGACCUUUUCUAGCUUGUUAGAGGUUACCCGAAAGGGCAGAGGGGCUGAACCGUUUUGGGUAUAGUGUGGCCUCUGUCUGUAUGAGUAUAGGUUGCGAGUCAUUGUGCCAUCAGAAGGGGGGCUGUAUAUCUGCGCGCAAAGGAAACCUUACGGCCCUAACAUGUUAGACGAACUUUUGAAAGGCUUCAUAGUGAUCCCUGCCGACCUCCCUAGGAAGGGGGUUAAGAGAUUAGCUACCUCGGGCGAAAGGGUAAAUCAUGACUCAUGGGUAAAGAUGUACAACCUCUGCAGAAUGUAAAACUGGUAUACUAGCCGUGCUCACGGUUAUGAGCGGCCUUGGGGGUUCUUGCUGCGCCGACGAUGAGCUUAUUAAGUUGUUAUGUUCAUUUGAUUAUCGUUUAUGCUAUGGAUUAAUUAUGCUUACACUCGAUCAUGUGAUUACUGGAUUAUUUAUGCUACCUUGACAAUUGCUAUUUAAUUAUGAAUAUGCUAUCCACUACUAAAAGCUAAAUGCAGUCAAACCAGUGUCAGCUAAUUGAGCCUCAUGAACCCCUGGUUAUACUUGUUGAGUACGAUAUGUGCUCACUCUUGCAAUUUCCCAACACCUCAGGAUAUGAUAUUGAAGAUGACUGGAAUGAGGAUUAUCGUUAUGAGUACUAGGUUUGGAGUCAACCAGUCAACAGUGUGCCUGUGUGGAGCUUCCGUCGAGAGCGUUGUUUACUUCUUGUUAUCAUUUAUGUAUGAGACUAUGUGAUAUUCUAUAUUCCGUUAUGUAAUAAACACUGCAAUGGUACAUUUGAGAUUUGUCCACUUAUGUGUGCGACUGUUUCUGGGGCACACAUGAGUCUUUUAUGCAUCCUAUUUUAUUCUUAAAAUAUGGGUGUGACACUUCUCUAUACAUCGCUCACAUCAAAUCACAUUGUUUGUAGCCUAAAGGGUAGUAGCAAUAGAUUUGGUUAGUCAGAUGCACACUUUCUCCCAGUGGUAAAAAUAUAAAUACGAUACUCUAGAUAACCUCCCGAGUGAAGUGCUCACCGAUAUCCGUGCGCUUGCGGAUCAUUUCCUCAUGGCGUUAACAAAUAUCAACAAGCAUUUCUGGCGCCGUUGCCGGGGAGAAAGACGGUUUGCUGAGAUAAUUUUGAGUCUUGCUAUUAUCUUGUAUUAUAGUUUUAUACUUUUAUUCUUUUAUUUUUUUCCAUCUUUAUGGAUAACUCAAAUUCCACACCUAUUAUUGAAUUUUUUGCACCUUCGGAGACCAGCCAUAGACCAUGGGAGUCAACAAGUCCUUUCUUUGCCUCUAAUUAUGAUAUGUGUCCGGAGUUGAUUGCAAUAGAUCAAAACCAACCCUUUUCUAUAGCCGAGGUCCUAUCUUUUAAUCAAGAAGAUAAUGAACUUUUAGCUACACCUAGGGAAUCUUUUAAUCCUUCUAUAAAUUUUGGUUUAGACCUAGCCCUACAAGACCAUGUUUUUCCUCGAUAUUUUCACAUUGGUCUUAAUCAUAUAACCUUUGGUAGAGUUUUUCUUUCUUUAUCUGUUAGUAAAGCAAGGUAUGUCUUCAUUCGUGGACAUCCUUCUUGCACUAGUCUUCAUAAAAAAAUCCUAGAGAUAGAGAAGGAAUCAUCUCCCAGACGAGGAAAGGAAGUUUCAAUAGCCGAUUUCCAAACAUUUCAAUCCCAUGAUUCGGCUAUCCAACCCAAACUAGUAGUGCUCCAAAAUCAUCUAAGGGAAGAAUAAAUUAUACCUUUGGAAAUUCAUUUUGGGAUGAGCUUAAACUUCCUGCUUCAUAAGAGACCUUUGAGUGCAUAUAGUCUGAACCUUCCUAAGAAGGGAUCUCUUAGAAAGCAUCUCAAAUCCAAUCCCUUUGAUGGACAUCUAGAAAGACUCAAGGAUGGCAUCUUAAGUGAUGCAAUAGAAGGAGAGCGAAGCCAUUUAGAAGACAAUCUCAUCUUCUCCCCUUCUACGCCCACUUUUGAUGACUCAUUCAAACCUAUCUUUAAACCCAUCCUUGAGCCUAAUAAUUUCUACUAUGCUCUUUCUCUUGAACCUCCCAAUGAUCCUAUGAAUCUCUCUAAACAUCCCGUGCAUAAGAGUCACCAAGACCACAAGAAGGAUCGAGAAGAGCUACAUCAAUGGUUAGAGGGCAUUAAAAAUCCAUGUGCUAUCACCAAUGAAUGGAUAGAUAAAACAAACUUGAGAGACAAUCCUAGAGGAAUUUUAAGCAUUCAUGAAGAAUCAUCCUUGGAGUUUGAGAAUGAGAGAAACAAUAGGGAGCAUGGAAGUUAUUUCAUAACUACCUCACCAAGUUCUUGCUCAUAUAAAACAUCUCCCCAAUCAAUUGGUCUCUCCAACCUUACCACAUUUGAGAUCUCCAACCCUCUCUUCCUUUCUAUUUAUAAAAACUUUAAAGGGGUGGUUAUCGAUGCAUAUGUCUAUAAUAAAUAUUGUAGAUAUUGUUGAGUCGAUCUUGAUAUAGGCACGCUUAGGUUGGUGUUGGAGGGGAAACCACUUCACCAACAUAAUUUGAUGAUUUUCCAAGGACAAGCUUAGUGUCCUAAACCAAGCACUUAUCAGAUCGUAACAUGAACUUUUAAUUAUUUGCAACAUUUCCUUGUGUAUUGAGCAUAUAAAGAUAAUUAUAGAAAUAUUCCUUCGGGUAUUCGUGUCAAUAACCUUUCUAGGAUUGGAGCAAGAAGAUCCAAGGAAUGACAAGCGCAAGGUAUGCCCAACCAAUCAUCAUGCAACAUUGAAUUAAAUUCAUCCAAUCUUGAAUUUUGCAAAAUUCAAGCUUGGGGGAAAUACCUUACAUAAGAACAUCCUUUGCCUUGUUGCUAUGUUGGUUGUCCCUACUUUUGGGGCAUGCUCAAUUUUUCUAAACACUAAACUUAUUUUUCAUCUCCAUCUGAGUAGAUCUCUAUAAAUGCUGUCAUACUACCUUUGUCUAUUCACAAGCAAGUGUUGGUUUCGAAGUACUCGACAUACUUCCAUUGGCAUUUAAAUUAAGCGUGGUGCUUAGGUUAAAUAGCCUUCCUUAAUUUGAUUAGACAUGGAGUCUAGUUUGGUUACUGAACUAAAAACUGCUUGAGUAGACAUUGGUAUAUUUUGUCAGACUAACCCCUGCAGAAAAACUUUCAAUAUCAACCUGGGAAGUCCUGAGAUACAAACUCACAUUGGAGACAAAGGAGACACAUGAAGUUUAAUGAUUUGCACAAGGAAGACAUAGCUCAUUCAUCAUAGAGAGAUGAUCAAUGGAACGAGACAAAGAGUGCCACAAAUACGGUGCACAACCGCUAAGAAAGGAAAGCUUCCACAAGGUGAUACUGUACCAUCACUCUUCAAGUAAGGUAACAUCUUAAGGUACUUGACUAUCACUUUAUAAGCUUCUCCUUGGUUCUGGCAUUCACAUGAAUAAAGAGACAAACAUAAAUUAACCAACCCAAUUAAUUCAACAUGUUUAGUCCUUUAAUCUUUGUUCUUAGUACUACCUUCGUGAUCCCACACUCCUAAUCAUAUAAGCUAAAAUGUUGCACAUUCAAUCUUUGGAAGAUAUAAAAAACAAAAAACAAAAAGAAAAACAAAAACAACAUAAAUAUAGAUAGAUUAUCUUUCCAUUAGGUCGAGUGAUCUGAUCUGAAAAAAGUUUUAAAUGCUACACUCAUGAUCUUAUCAUCCAACAACUUUGUCUUGCUCACUAUGCUUAAGGUUAGAGAAGAACAAAUACACUUUUGGUUCUGUUGGUGUUUUUCACCAACAGGGCCCAUGCACUUGAUCUCUACCUUGUCUCUAUAAGAAGGUACACUUCAAGCAAAACCUGAAGGAGUUUUACAACUCCCAGAUUCCACCAAGUGAAGGACUUGGAUCUACGAGCACAAACACACUGAGCAGGAUGCUGAAAGGUCCUAAUAUGGCUAGAGGGGGGUGAAUAGCCUAUUUUAAAAUUCUACAAACUCACUAGAGCAAGAGGUUAGUAAAUAACAAAGCGAAGCUUUUUGCUCUAGCUCUAAAGGGGUGUUUGCAUGCCACCUACCCAACAAUUCUAGUUGCUAUGAACACUAUACACACAAGAACUACGUCUCUACAAGCUACACUAGUGAACUAAGCUAUACAAGGCAAAGUAAGCAACUAAACUAAUUACACUAGUCUGAGGUAAGUAAAGGAUAGGAUCAGAUAUUUAUACCGUUGUGUAGGGGAUGAACCAAUCACCAAUAUAAACAAUCACGCAUCGGGAGAAUGCCAAUCAAACACAAUUGAGACACCGAUUUUUCUCCCGAGGUUCCCGUGCUUGCCGGCACGCUACGUCCCCGUUGUGUCGACCAACACUUGGUUGUUCGGCGGCUAAGAGGUGUAGCACGAACCUCGUCCUCACUAGGACACCGCAAGAACCGACCCACAAGUGAGGUAACUCAAUAACACGAGCAAUCCACUAGAGUGGCUUUUGGCACUCCGCCGGGGAAUAAGCCCAAGAACCCCUCACAAAUAUAACCUUGAUUGGGGGUGGACACAAUCACCAAAUCCCCUCACCAAUCAACAAAUCCACAACCGUCUAGGUGACGGCAAUCACCAAGAGUAAUAAGAAAUCCACAAUUGCAAUCACCACCUAGUGCCACAAGAAUGAAAUCACAAAAGCACAACACUAGGGUUUCCCCAAAUCCUCUCACCAAUGAGCACCAAGCUAUGGAGAAGGAGAGGAGAGGAAGGAGAUGCACUUGAAGCUCUCAGAUCUAUCACUUGAGCUCAAUCUCUCACUUGAAUGGAGCACAAAGCUUAGGGAGUGAGAGAGGAGGAAGGGAGAGCUUUCUCUACUAUUUAGAAGAGCCACCGGAAGUCAGAAAAUGUGUUCUAUUUGAGUUGCCCCAUCAAAAACGAAGGAAACGAGUACUUAUAGUGUGGCACCGGAAGUUCCGGUGCUUGGGACCGGAACUUCCGGUCUGACCAGAUCUAACCGUUGGAGCCUCGGUCCAAGCAGAUCUGACCGUUGUGGCCAAACAGAUCUGACCGUUGUGAGAGACUCGGACCCAUCGGAAGUUCCACCGGAAGUGAAUCCUGACGCGCGAGGGCAUGCGCAAAGGCUCCUAUGCGGACUCCCGUUCAUGGACCGGAACUUCCGGUUGUGGACCGGAACUUCUGGUCAUGGACUGGAACUUCCGGUCAUACACCGGAAGUGUUUUCUCAAACGCGAGCGCAUCUCACACAGCCCAACCGGAACUUCCUGUCAGGCUGACCGGAACUUCCGGUCAGGCACCGGAAGUACCACCGGAAGUUCCACCGGAACUUCCGGUCCUGCAUUCUCAGCACCAUCUCAAACCUUAUUAGGUUGCUAACUUCUAGCUCUGAACUCCGAAUUCAAUGAUCUUGGACAUUUCGGAAAGCUUACUGAGAGGGCUAUACAAUCCAUAUGGAUACUCAAUCCAAAUCAUAAUGUAUCAAAGCAGUAUUUCAAUCUAAAAGUCAUCCUAAUGUCCGAAGAACACCGAAAAGCCUCUCUCUCUUCUCCAAGUUGAUCAAAAUCAACUCCAACACCUUCUCCUUUGCAAAUGUGCCAACACCACCAAGUGUACACCACCAUGUGCAUGUGUGUUAGCAUUUCACAAUCAUUUUUUAUAGGCUUUCUCAUGCAUCUCACCACGUCACUAAGUGCUAGGUAUAUGCAAAUGAGACUCACACUUAGUGGCACUAGAUAACCAUUGCAAUUAAAGAUUUCCCCUCUUUAUAGUACGGUUAUCUAUCCUAAAUCCACUCACACCCGCUAGGUGUCUUGAGUGGUAAAACAAAAUGGCCCUAAUAAAAAUACCUUUGCCUUGAGCCCAUUUUGUUUUUCUCUUUCUUCUUUUCCAAGUUGGAGCACUUGAAUAUCAUCUUUUGGUCACCUCCAUCACCAUGACCAUCAUCUAGCUCCAUCACUUGGUGUGUACCAACCUAUCCUUAUAUUUCACUCAUGACAAAGGUUAGUACACAUAGGUUUCAUCAAUUAUCCAAAACCAAACUAGGACUUUCAGAUGCUGCCAAUGCCGCACCUUGAACUGCUGGACAAACGACGAACAUGGGUGACACUGUAUCAAGAGGUGCAGAUGUCAAGGCCCACACCUAAUCAAAUGAUGCACCUAAAGGAUGAACACGGUCAGAAGUCUUGUCCAGAAGACUUAAAACAUUGGAUCCUUGCCGGAAGAAUUCAAGGAUAAAAGAAGACUAGCCGGUGGAGGACAUAGUAAUCGCUGUCAGGGUGCUACCGACAUUCAAAUACACCUCCGUCACCUGCUAGCUACAGCAGAAGAAAUUAUGUCAAAAUCCAGCUUGGGGGAGAGCACCCCCAUUUAUCCAGCUAAGUGUUUCUACUCGCGUUUAUACUUUAGUCAAAUAAUAAAAAGAUGCAUAAUCAUGAAAACCCAAAUAAAAAUUUUGUGUUUAUAUAUAUCUUUGCUUAGUUUGCUAAAUAAAUAAAUAAAGUGUCUAGGCCAAACUGAACUUAAAUGAUAAACUCUUACAUGGAUAUGAUAAUAGUUGCUCUGCCAUGUACCUAGUUUUCAAGUUUGAGCUCUCUCUCAAGUUUAGGCAUAACUAUUAUAAUUUAAACCUACUCUAAACCUGAACUUGUGAGAAGAGUACUUGAUCUAAAGUCUAAGUCGUUAACGGAUAUGAUAUGGAAAGGUUGAGCUGUUGUUUAUCUGUUCCUAGAGUUGCUAGAAUUCUGGAGAAUAUUAUCUUUGAAAAUCUUUAAAAUAUUGCAUGAUGAGUUCCUGUAUGAUAAGAGUUUGAAAUCCUACCACAGCCAUAUAUACAUGCUUAUUAGACUAUGAACCAUAUAUUUACUUUUUACUGCUUAUGAGCAUUGAGUGUGGUCAAGCUGUGUAGACCCUUAGGAGCUUGUCAUGCGGUUAAAAUCAAGAUCCACUUGCACGUUCACUCAUACAUGCUACUUCUACUCCGGAAGUACGCAUCCACAUACAUCCACUCAAUUCCAUCUCUAGAUUCACCUAAAAUUAUUCUACUCCUAUCCGGGAGAGAAUAGCCAAAAACUUUUUCCUAUCCCUGUUAUUCCCUGUGAAAUAAAUGCUCGAGAUAUUUUGGUUACUACCACUUGCUAUAUUAUUCUAGGAGGGUGAGUGCUCUGAAAAAAAGAAGAAAAGGAAAAAUACGAGGAAAUAAAAAGGGGCAAGUGCCCGGAACCUCGAAGAAAAGAAAAAGUGAGACGAGAGGUAAAAAUGGACAAGUGUCCGACAGUAGAAUUAGGGGUACAAGAUACCCACCUGAGAGAAAAGAAGAAAAAAAAUAUAGAGCAUCUCAUUCUCCUCAAAAAAGCUUCAAAGUGCAAGAAAGGUAUGUAUCCCCUAAAAAGAGAAAAACUAGAAUUAGACUUUCACCAUUGUUAUCACCAUCAUCACCAUACACCAUUCACUCGCCACACAUGCACAUCUUGAUUUGACUUAUUGACUUGUUCUUCUGGAUCCAAGGUUUGACUAUGCAAUAAAUGUCUUGUAAGUAUGUAUUAUCUGUCUCCCACCUAUGAGCUCCAGAUAUCAAAACCUUAUUAGAGUAGGGUGAGAGAGAAGGCAAUAUCACUAUGCCUCAUACCAAAAGACCACAUACUUUGAGAGAAGGCAUAUACCAUUACUGCCUUGGAAAGGAUCCAGAAAUACCACAAAAGAGAGAUUUGAGAGAGUCAUACAAGGAAUCUCUGAGUUUUAUUUGAAAAUCUGCAAAAACUCCAGAGCUAUAGCUGAUCAAAGAACAAGAGACAUGGUGCUUGACUAGACUAUUCUAUCUUUUAACUGCUCAAGACACAAGUGAUGGUUGCAAGCCCCAUGGUGAAAGGUAAAAAGAGUAAGUUUUAAGUCUUAACAGUUUACUCUAACUCAGAGAUGAGAUCUUGCUUGAACGCAUAUGUACUUUUAAGGCACGAAACCACUGCAGAAACUCUUGAGUCCAUCCUUGCUCAGGGACGAGCAAGAGGUAAGCUUGGGGAGUUGUUGACGGUCCUUAAGUACCAAAUAUAAUCAUCCAAAAUAGGAUCCAAAUGCAACCAACACCCAGACUUAGGGUUUUAUCUGACAGAAUUCCACGAGUUUUGGUGUUUGUCUAUUUCUGCAGGGGGUUAUCACGAAAUAUAGAGGAAAGGCCCACAUGUCGGGUUUACAUAGAGAUAUUAACAAGUCGUGCAAUUCUCUAUCAUCUAGAAGAGUCCAGAAGCCACGAGAACGAAUGGGAGGCC
rnacentral:lncRNA from 1 species